CACGAGGCCUGAAGCCUCGUCCUUCCUGAUGGAACUAAAGGAUCGUACGUUCUUGGCGGUGAGGAGUUCCAUGACACAUACUUUACGCAUUUGUCUCCAGUAUUCACCAUAAGGAGUAAAUGCGAUGUCCGUGCUCUUGUAACAUAUUGUGUCGACGGAUGCUAAUUUAGGCCUCGAUGCAAAAGCAAGGUCAUGAGUUUUCAGUACCUCCCGGGCCAUAUCCGUAGAUGAAACUAUGACCGUAGAAAUUUCCCCUAGUUGUAGGUGCAUGAGAGGCCCAUAUUUUUUGCUCAAGUUUGUGAGUGCAUGAUGAGGAAGUCCACCUUCUAGUACCAAGUGAUGGAUACUUCCUAAGAAAGGCAAUUUCCAUGGUCCUGGAGGAAGUUUUUUGUUCAAGUUUCUUGAUUUUUUCCUUUGCACAAGUAGUAGAUAGAGGAAUGAUAGGAAAAGAAAUAAGAAAAUGAAAUUGAAUGGAAAUUGGAACUCCAUUAGAUAGCUAAAGCUAAGAGAGGAGUGUCUCUCAAGUUGUAUAUGGCUAUAUUUUGGCCUAUCCUAAUGCCAGAGGGAUAUGAUCCAAGUGUUAGGCUAUCUUUUGGCCUAUCCUUGAAGAUAUUUUCCUUAAAAAUAAGUAGUUUUCUUAUAUAGUUUUUUUUUUUAAUAUUUGAAAAGCAGAAAAAAUGUAAAAUCUAAACAAACACUAUGAAAUAAGAUUGGGGCUGGCGGUGGGCAGGAUUAAAAUGUCGAAACUUGUUUUUUAUGCUUUUAUUAGAAAAACUUUUUUUUCAAUUUUAGAGCGAUAGGAUUUUAAUUACUUAAUACUUAGCUUCUAAUAAGAUUCUGACAUAUAUUACACAGUUCAGGGGCGGAUUUACAUUGAACGAAGGGGUUCAUCCGAACCCCCUUCGUCGAAAAAUUACUAGGAUUAAAUUUUGAAUAUAUGUGUAUAUAUACUAUUGAACCCCCUGAACAUACACCAAAGGCGUAGCUCAGUGGCGUUGGGGGUUCAGGAGUUUUGCUCUACUGCACGCGAGGUCGCGUGUUCGAAUCCGGACAGAGGCAUUUUGUUUUAUCAACUUAUUUCAGACGUUUUAUUUUUUUAAAAUAAAUAAUAAUGCAAUCAGAAAACGAUGUUUAGUUCCAAAAAAUUAAAACGCUGAUUGAGAAUUUAGGAUUUAUUAGUUUAAUCCCUAAUCAUAAAGUCAAAUAUUAAAAAAAUCGUUUCUUCUUGAUUCGACCGUUUAAUCCGACCCGUUUAUAUCCGAUUCGACCCGUUUAUUUAUGGAUAUUAUUUACGUGAUUAAUUUUUUUGAACCCCCUUGAUGAAAAUCCUCCCUCCGCCACUGUUACACACAUAUCAUAUUUUCCAGCCACACGUAGAGCCUCCAAGACGAUCCGUAUUGAUUAAUAGAUCUUCGCGUCCUGCCACAUAUUGCAUGACAAAAUAUCUUUGGUUUUAUUUUGAACAAACUACGAGCUAUACAUUACUCAUGUUAUUUCGUCAGCAGCAUCGUAAGUUUGUGUACUGACCUCAGUAAUAUAAUUCUAAUAACAUUUUAUUACACUUUUUAUGAUAUGUGAUUCAUAUUUGAAGGUGCUACUAUUUUUACGAUAAAAUGUUGAUUUUCAAGCAAUUUUUUUCGUCUUUUAUCAGUAAAACAAAAACAACAUGCAAAUAUUGCAACCGUAUUUCCUUUGUUCUUUAGAUAAACAAUAUGUCCAGCUUUACAUAUUAAUUACCCAUUUCCAAAUUAAAAUUAUAUAUCAAUUAAUAUGAAUAUUAUGAUAAAAUACUCUUAUUAAUUACUCUAUUAAUUUAAAAUGCAUACAAAAUUUAAAGACGACAAAUAAAAUGAGUACAAAUAUAAAUGACGGAAGAAAAUAUCUUUGAUUUCAUUUAGAAUUUACUAAGAAAACAUAAUUAGUUUUAUUUAAAAUCUGUUAAAAUAUUAUCUAUUAACAAUAUAUAAGUGAAAACAAGUUAGCUAUUAAUAUAUAUAUUAAUAUAUAAGUAAGAACAAGCCAACAACUAAUGAUCAAACAGACAUAUUGUCCAUCAACGGUGUGUUUAUCCAUACUUAUAUAUUAGUAGUGGAAGUGGAUAGUGGAUAUUUGACUUUUAAUGCAUCAAUAAUGCCAUCUUUUCUGAGAAAAUGAUAUAAAUAAUCUCUUAACUAUAUGAGUAGGUCUAAAAUGGUCCUUUAACUAUAUACUUAACGGAUUUAGUCCUUUAAUUAUAUCGGUUUUAGUUCCUUAACUAUAAACUUAUCGAUUUUAGUCCUUUAAAUAUUUAAAAACUUAUCAGGUUUGGUCUUUGUCCAUUUUUAAAAUACAAAUAGCUUAGGUUUAUAUUAACGGAAAUCUUCGUGAAAUUGUAUCUUUAACCCAUUUUUAAAGUUGUUUCUCUAUCCCCACCAUUUUUCUUCAAACUACUCUUAUGAAAAGAACAAUAACGUCAACGAUUCAAAAUAAAAUUAAUGAGGAAAGAAGAUAUAAGUCCUUAUUUUAUUCAAUGGAGGAUAAAAUUAAACAUAUAAUUGUUGUUAAUGACUUGAAUCCACACUUGAAUAUGCUAAUCAAUGCGGAUUUUAUUUAAUUUCAUCAAAAUAAAAUUAAUGAGGAAAGAAGAUAUAAGUCCUUAUUUUAUUCAAUGGAGGAUAAAAUUAAACAUAUAAUUGUUGUUAAUGACUUGAAUCCACACUUGAAUAUGCUAAUCAAUGCGGAUUUUAUUUAAUUUCACAAAUUUAUUUACGUAAAAUAAAAUGAAUAGAAUAAUAAAAUUGAUCUAUUUAAAAAAAUUGCAAAUCUACCAUGCAUUUUAUAAAUUUCAAUUUCUGAAAAAUUAAACAAAUUUCGUUCAAUAAAAUCGUUGGAGUACAAACUUUGAAUUUUAUGAUUAAUAUUUUUUUUCUUUUUAUAAUAAAGUUAAGCAUAUUCAAGUCAUUAGUAGCAAUAAUAUGCUUCAUUUUAUCCUCUGUUGAAUAAAAUUAUGACUUAUAUUUUCUUUCCUCGUGAAUUUUAUUUUAAAUCAUUGAGGUUAAGGUUCUUCGCAUAAGGUUAAUUUGAAGUAAAAGUAGCGGAGAGAGACAAAUAAUAGAAAAAAUUGCUAAAGGAUUUAAUUUCUCGAGGCAUGAAUUCCGUUAAUAUAAACCUAAGCUAUUUGUAUUAAGAAAAUGGACAAAGACCAAACCUGAUAAGUUUUUGAAUACUUAAAUGACUAAAAUCGGUAUGUUUAUAGUUAAGGGAUUAAAAUCAGUAAGUGUAUAGUUAAGAGACCAAAACUGAUAAGUUUAUAAAUAGUUAAAGAACUAAAUCCGUUAACUGUAUAGUUAAGGGAUCAUUUUAGACCCAUUCUUAUAGUUAAGAAACUAUUUAUGUCAUUUUCUCCAUCUUUUCUUAUAGAGAAAAUACAUCAAAUCACAUUUAAACUUAACAACAAAAGUUACUUUGACACUUUAAUUAUACUGAUGUUUAUUUAUCCCUUAACAAAUUUUAAAUGAAUUAAAUACGGCCUUAGGGGGUGACGUGAUAGAGAGAGUGAACCUACUCUCCUAAAAGCGUGUGAAGAAAGAAAAAAGAAAAGCUGAAAUUACAAGAUUAUGUGUCAUUUUUUUUAUCGGCCAACAUAUAAAUAAUAUUUUUAAUCUUUUUUUCUUAAUAUAUUAACUUUUUUAAAAUAUGUGAAUUUUCUUAUAGAGAUAAUGGAAUUUAUGAAUCCCAUUUAAAAUAAAGUUUUAACUUUAUUCUCUUUAAUUGUUAUUGACAUCGAUUUUAUGAAAUUCAGUACUAACAUCAUUGUUACAGCCAUUAAUUCCACAACAUCCACUACCAAUAGCAAUAAUAAUGGAGAAGAAUGGAGCGAUGAGGAAUACACAUUCCUAAAUAAUCGAUUUUACAAUAUCUACAUCGAUUCACAAUCAAUACCCAUUAAGAACACACAUUCAUAGAUCCAUAUUUUUAAUUAAUGUUCUUGCAGCUUCAAUCUCACCAAUAAAAUUAGUGAAUGAAGAUCGUAUAAGAAAGUUGAAAGAUCCAUAUUUUUUGCAUCACUAAUAAUAGAAGCUCAAAAUAUGGGUUACUUAAAAUUCAAGAAAAAUUACAUUUAUAAAAUAUAAGCAUCAAGAUUUUACUUAUGAUUUUUGGUAGAAAUCUUGUUGAUAAAAUGUAUGAAGCUUGAGACUAUAGCUAAAGAAACUGUUGUUGAAAGAAAUUAGAUUCAAUUUUCGGUUGGCAUUGUUGAAAUGAUUUAUCUUCAAUUUUUGAUUGCCAUUACUGAGGAUUUACCUCCAAUUUGGUACUGAUGAUAAAGCUCUUUGUUAAAUAAAUGAGCCAACAUAAGUUUUGAAAUUAAUUAGUUUAGUGUAUAUAAGUUAAAAAAAGAUAUAUUUAAAGAAAACGAAAAAAUGGUGAAUAAACAGUAAGAAAUAAAAAAUUAAUGAUGUGAUGCUUAGAUGGCUAUGACGUCAUGCUUAUAUUGCUAUGACAUGGCGGGUGAGAGUAGUAUUUUAAUCUGAGGGUGGUAUUUAAUUCAUUUGAAAGUUAAGAGGGUAAAUAAAUGUCCGUAUAAUCAAAGUGCUAAAGUAAACAAUUCAUUCUAUGCAACGAGUAUCUUUGGGAUGACUUAGCCUAAUAUAACACAUUCAGACCAAUGAACAGUCCUUGUUAUUUUGUGAAUGCUUGAGCUUGUACCAUGCAAACUUAGCCAUGCAUUUCCUGAAACUAGAGUACUAGACAUAAACUGAUCAAUGAAUUUCUCUUGAUCUUUCAACAAUUCCCCAAAUGCUGCUUUGCAUGUAUUUGAGCUCUGGUACCAUGAAACCCGUUUUGUAACAUUUAUCGGCUCGCUACGUGUUGAUGACCGGAUGAACUGCACGAGGCGUGAAGCCUCGUCCCGCCUGAUGGAACUAAAGUACCGUACGUUCUUGGAAGUGAAAAGUUCUAAUACGCAUACUUUGCGCAUCUGUCUCCAGUAUUCACCAUAAGGAGUAAAUGCGAUGUCCAUGCUCUUGUAACAUAUUAUGUCGAUGGAUGCUAAUUUAGGCCUUGAUGCAAAAGCAAGGUCGUGAGUUUUCAGUACCUCUCGCGCCAUGUCCAUAGAAGAAACUACGACCGUAGAAAUUUCGCCUAGUUGAAGGUGCAUGACAGGCCCAUAUUUUUUUCCCAAUUUUGUGAGUACAUGAUGAGGAAGUCCACCUUCUAAUGCCAAGUGAUGGAUACUUCCUAAAAAGGGCAAUUUCCAUGGGCCUGGAGGAAGAUUUUUGUUUAAGUUUCUUGAUUUUUUCCAUUCGACCAGUAGUAGAUAGAGGAAUGAAAGGAAAAGGAAUAAGAAAAUGAAAUUGAAUGGAUAUUGGAACUCCAUUAGAUAGCUAAAGCUAAGAGAAGGGUGUCUCUCAAUUCUCAAGUUCAAAGCUUUGUUGUAUAGGGCUAUUUUUGGCCUGCUAUAUAAUCCUAAUAUCUUGAGAGAAAUGAUCCAAGAGUAAGGGUGUGUUUGGUAUGAAUUUUCCUAAAAAAUAAAUAGUUUUCUUACUUAUUUUCUCGUAUGUGAUAGGUAAACAGAAAAUAUUGUAAAAGCUAGGCAAACACUAUUAUUAUUAUCACAAUUCAACUUGUAAACGAGUCUGAAGUCAAGGUACGGGUCAUGCUUAUGUAUUAUGCCUAUAUUAUACGCAUAACAAUAUUUUUCGGCCGUAUGUAGAGCCUCUAAGACAAAGAGGAGACUAUCAAUUAUCCUUUCAAAAUUCAUAUUGAUUAAUAGAUCUUCGCAUCUUGCCACAUAUUGCAUGACGAAAACUAUUUCCUGAUGCAGUGAUAGCUGCUACAAAAGUACAAAAUUUGGUUUUAUUUGAAACAAACAGAGGAAAAUUCCAAACUCUGAGCUAUACAUGUUAAUUUGUCAGCAGUGCCAUCCGAUAUAUUCAAACUUGUGUCUAAUGUCAUAAAUUAUAGGUAAAUUUUGAUGAAAAUAUAUAUAAGAUAUUUAAAUUGUUCAUAAAAACUAAUAUAUUAUGUAUAUAAUGUGUCGGUUGAUUCGAUUAUUUUGAAUCAAACAAAAUAUUAUCAAUUUAAAAAAAUGUAAAACCAGAUCAAACCAAAUCCAAAUAAAAAAAAUCGAUUGGUUCAAUUUGAAUCAGUUGAAAGAAAUUAUUGUGGAAGCUUGCACAAAGGUUUGAAUAUCAGUGUUCAACAUUGUUAUGGUGAGGCCAAUCAAGUCGCGGAUGCUUUGGCCAAAUGAAGCAUCAAGAACCAAGAUCACAAUUUCUUCUCGAGGGGCUCGUGCAGAAUGAACCAAUUACAAUUGCCAUCGCUAAGAUUCAAAUGCAUAAAGCAUUCGAGUAUUCACUAUUUUCACUCCAAAUUACUCACAAGAUUGUAAUCCAGUUGAUGCAACCAAGGCACUACUCUAAGAAGGGAAGCCCCACAGAGCAGAGUAGUGGAGAGACUAGAACUCUGUUCGAGUAGAGUCGAGGGUGGGAUUGAAAGACUCAUCAACUUGUCGUCUCAGUUUUUUGUGCCACAAAAGGUAUCUUAUGUCUGUGUACCUGAGUCUACAUCAACUAAAAGAUGCAGUGCCCUUGACCAAGGGAUGUAAGUACAUAUGGAAUAGUACCAUAUGUAAAAUGACAGAAUGAAACAUGAACGUACAUAUAUUUUUUUUAAAAAAAAACAGGAUGACCAACAGAAUCAGACACACAACAUGGAAGGAUCGUGAUAAUCAAGUGUCACCAACAUGUUCUGACAUUUAGUUUCUUAGUCAUGCGUUAGUUCGUUAUGGAAAUUCAUUAGUGUAACUGAACAUGAGGUAGCAGAGUGAGUCCCUUUUGCUAUAUAUGGUUCAGUUAACAAAAACAAGGGCUUACUGCUAUAAAAAAUCACUAAGAAAUGUCACUGCUAGAAACAAAGGUUUUCUCACCGCGAUCAAUAAAAAAAUUGUGUUAUAAAACAUGAUUUUCUCAUUCAUUUUCCACCAAACCAGCUCACUGGAAAACACAUGGUAGGAAACAAAUUCUGCUGAAAUAGUGGAAGCUUUCUAAUUUUGGAUGGAGAAGCUAUUAUUGUUAAUAAACAAAACUUCAAAGUACAUGAACUGAUCAUUGAACAACACAUGAAUAUAUUACAUACAAGCUUGAAACAAGCUGACACAAAUAUCAUUAAAUACAUAAUUCACAAACAAAAAAAGAAGAACAGAGAGGAUAAAAUAUCAUUCAUGAGAAGGAUAAUAAGGAGUGGCAAUCAAGUAGAGCUCGCUCUUUCUUGCUGCAGUUAUUCCGGAAAAUUCAGUCAUGUCCACAUCCUUAGGCUUCAAACCAUCAGGUAAUUUCCAAUCAAAAUGAUACAACAAUUUAGCUAGUGGAAGAUAAAUAUUGAUCAAACCAAAUGUAAUCCCAGGACACAUUCUCCUUCCGGCACCAAAAGGAAGAUACUCAAAGUUAUUCCCCAUGAAAUCCACAGAGGUCUGCUCGAAUCUCUCAGGGAUAAAGCUUUCUGCAUCUUCCCAAUACUUCGGGUCCCUCCCCAUUGCAUAAACGUUAACCAUCACUCUUGUUUUUAAUGGGAUAGUGUAACCGUUGAUGUUUGUUUCUUCCCUGCAUUCUCUGGGGACUAAGAGAGGAACUGGAGGAUGAAGUCUUAAGGUUUCUUUAACAACUUGUUUUAGAUAUUUCAAUUCCUCAAUAACAUCUUCAUCGAACGUUUCUUUUCCUUUGAAGGCUUGUCUUACCUCAGCUUGUGCCUUCGCUAAUACACUUGGUUUCCUCAUCAUUUCUGACAUAGCCCAUAUCGUUGUUGUUCCUGAAGUUUCUGCUCCCGCAGAGAACAAGUCCUACAUUUUAUUAUUAAUAAAAGAAGAAUUUACAUGAAUAGCUGGUGAAUGUAUAAUAUGUGUGUAUAAAUUUGAAGGAUUUUCCCUAUAAAAGUAAGAAUACUUACUAUUAUAAUUGCUUUGAUGUUGUCAUUGGUGAUAGGAAUUUUAAGUUCUCCACUCUCCUUUAAUCUUAGUAGAACAUCAACUAAAUCUUCACCUCCAAAUGCACCAUUUCCCUUUUUACCACUUGCAAUAUUCUUUUUAUGCUCAUUGAUAACAUCCUCAACAAUAACAUCAGCAUUUUUAUGAACUUUCAAGAUUUUACUCUUCAAUCCACUUAACACUUGAAGGAUCUUGAUUGAAGGGAAAAUGUCAGCCAAACUAAAUCCACCUGCCACUUCCAUCAAUUCUCUCACUAUUCCAAGGAAUUUCUCUUGAUCUUUCAACAAUUCCCCAAAUGCUGUUUUGCAGGUAAUUGAGCUCUGGUACCAUAAAAUCCGCUCCGUAACAUUUAUUGGCUCGUCACGUGUUGAUGACCGGAUGAAUUGUACAAGGCGUGAAGCCUCGUCCCAUCUGAUGGAACUAAAGGAUCGUACGUUCUUGGUAGUGAGAAGUUCCAAGACACAUACUUUGCGCAUCUGUCUCCAGUAAUCUCCAUAAGGACUAAACGCGAUGUCCGUGCUCUUGUAACAUAUUAUGUCGAGGGCUAAUAAUUUAGGCCUUGAUGCAAAAGCGAGGUCAUGAGUUUUCAGUACCUCUCGCGCCAUAUCCAUAGAAGAAACUAUGAUGGUAGAAAUUUCGCCUAGUUGAAGGUGCAUGAAAGGUCCAUGUUUUUGCCCAAGUUUGUGAGUGCAUGAUGAGGAAGUCCACCUUCUAAUGCCAAGUGAUGGACACUUCCUAUAAAGGGCAAUUUCCAUGGGCCUGGAGGAAGCUUUUUGUUUAAGUUUCUUGAUUUUUUCCAAUCCACAAGUAGUAUAUAGAGGAAUGAUAGGAAAAGGAAUAAGAAAAUGAAAUUGAAUGGAAAUUGAAACUCCAUUAGAUAGAUAGCUAAAGCUAAGAGAGGGGUGUAUAGGCUUUAAUUCUUCUGGCCUAAUAUAUAAUCCUAAUGUCAGAGAGAAAAUGAAUUGAGAGUAAGGAUGUGUUUGUCCCCGAAAUUAAGUGUCUUUUUUGCUUAUUUUCGGUAUUUGGUAAUACACAGAAAAAAAGUGUUUUGAAACUUUUUUGAUCAACCAAACAUGAUUGUUUUUGGAAAAGACUCCACACAAAACACACACUAAAUAUAAUACUAAUCUUAUACCUGCAAGUCAUUAUCUCGUAUAAUGUAGUACUAAGUAUAAAGUAUAUAAACUAAAUGAAAGUUGAAUUCGAGAUAGAGAGAGACCAUGUAUAAACUUAUAAUAUUUGCUUAUCAAUGUUUGGUGAAAGCAAUAAACGUGUUUUUAAUUGUAUUGUAUUCAAUUAUCUCCUAAUUGAUAUCAAUACAAUAACAAAAACAUCUUUAAUUAAUUUAAUGUCAAACACAUGAUGUAUUAACAACUAUUAAAUUAGAGCCGGCAAUGAUGUGGAAAAUCUUAUGCGAAUCAAUAUUGAUUAAUGAGUAUCGACCUAUCGUCACAAUUCGUUUCGUAAUUAAAUGAGUUGAUCUAGAGCGGAAGGUUAAUAUUUGGGUUUAUUUAUGCUCUCGCUAUGAUACAUUUGAUUUAUUAGUGCCAUCAACAAAGAACUAGAUUUUGUCACAUGACAUUAUUUAAAUUCUUCAUUAUUUAUCAGCUCCCACCUCUCUCAUCUCCUUUUGUGAGUUAUAUAUAUAUAUAUAUAUAUAUGAUCCAUUUUAUUAAGUUCAGUAUAUAUUUAAGUCUUUUCUCAUUACUUCUCCAAAGGGCUAAGGGGAACACACAAAAAGGCUCAGUUAUUUCAAUUAUUGUAUGGAGAGCAUUAUUUUGGAUGGUGAAACUAUUGCUCCUUUGUCCGUAUUUACUUGUCCAAUUUUGAAUUGAAAUAUCUAUUAAAAAAAUAAUACUAACAUAAUGAGUUUAUCAUUUUACUCAUAUUCAUUAAUUGAUAGAAGUUCAAAAUCAAUUUACUCAUUAAAGAGGUUAUACCUUUUUCAAAAACAUUAACUCUCUAAAUAAAUUGAGGGUAUAAUAGGUAUAAAAAUAAUAAUAUUUUUUUAAUUUGUCAAAAAUGACAAGUAAAAAUAUCAAAAUUGAACAAGUAAAACCGGCAGAUGGAGUAUUAUUAAUACACAAAAUUCAAAGUACAUACAAUAGAUGAAUAUACUAAACAAGUAUAGGCAAACUGUCAAGCUGACAUAUACAUACAAGCUUGAAACAAGAUGAUAUAUAAUAAAGUUGGAUUACCAUUUUAUUUGUUUACCAAAUUAAAUAUUUAUUUAAUUAAUUAUUACUAAAUAGUAAUAUCUUAAUAUUUUUUGAAUCAAUUUAAAUUGUGAGGUACAAUGAAUCGUCUAAUUUACUAGUUCAAUCCAGGGAAAUGAAAGGGUUUUUGAUAUUAAGUGAUAAUACAAACAAAAGUUGAAAGCAUCCCAAGUCUCAUUUCGAGAUAACAUUUAAUAUUUGUGUUAAAUUUGCUUUUAUCAUUGAAAUUUAAAACUUUCACGGUUAGCUUAUUUUUUCAAUAAUAAAGACCAUUGAGUUCUUGUAAUUAUUGGGAGAUCAAUAUUCCAUAAAUAGUACUCUUACAAUUAAUUCUUUGUGAAACUAUUUUUUUUUAUGACAAUCCCAAGAAGUUUUUCUAAGGGAUGAAUUAGUAAAAUUAUCUUUUUAUUUAUGAUUUCUUAAUAUAUGUAUAAAAAGUAAAAUGAUUCACUAAUAUGAAAUGGAGGAAUAACUAAUGACUUUUCACCUUAUAACUAUUGGUUUUCUUUGUUUACAUAUUUCUCCAUCCGCAGAAAUGAUCCAAGUGAACCGUUAAGAAAUUCAUUAAUCACUGUUAAAUUGAUAAUGAAUUAUAUUAUCUCAUUCAUUAUAUUCUUCUCAAUAAUCAGCUUUUAUAAAUCAAACAAUAUGUAUAACUCCACCAUUGAAAGAUAUAGUAGAGGAAAACUCCAAAUUUAUGAGGUAAAUGUUUAUGUUUAUUUUACUCUGUUACUUCAUAUAAGUAUUCAUGUUUGCUUCUAUUAUAUUUUUUAGCUCUAAAUUAGAGUUAAUCAUACAUUAUUUUUAGUAAUAUAAAUAUAUUAUAUGUUUACAUCUAUUAUCACAUCAAAAUGCAAACUUGCAGUUUCAUAUGAUAUAUAUAAUGUAUUUAUCGUCCAACAAAGAAAUAAUUCAAUAGAAUGAAGUCUCAAGGAUUCUUUAACAACUUGUUUUAGGUAUUUCAAGUCCUCAAUAAUAUCUUCAUUGAAAGUUUCUUUUCCUUUGAAUGCUUCUCUUACCUCAACUUGUGCCUUUGCUAGCACACUUGGUUUUCUCAUCAUUUCUGUCAUGGUCCAUAUUGUUGUUGUUAUUGAAGUUUCUGUUCCCGCAGCGAACAAGUCCUAUAUUUCAUUAUUAAUUAAAGAACUAAUAAAUUCACUUAUUUUCCUAAAUAAUACUGAACACACCCUUAGAGAUUUUUUUUAAGGGAAAAGGCUUAAAUAUGUCAUUGAACUUUGAGAAAAAACUCAUCUAUGACAUCCGUUAGAAGUUUGACUCAUCUAUGUCAUUUCUGUUAGAGAAAAAUCUCAUCCAUGACUUUAUUUAUUAACUGAAAACAGUUUUGGUUUUGCAAAACCAUUUUUUUUACAUGUGGUCAAUCAUGAUUCGGUCACUUCAUUAAUUAAAUCAUUUUAAAAAGGGAUUAGGUUCAAAUAUGCCAUCAAUCUUACAGAAAGGCUCAUCUAUGUGUUUGAGUCAUAUAUGCUAUUUCAGUUAACAAAUUAAAUAAUGACUUGGAUGAGUCUUUUUUCAAAAGGAAAUGACAAAGAUGAGUCAAACUUUUAAUGAAUUGCAUAGAUGAGUCUUUUUUCUCAAAAUUCGAUGGUAUAUUUGAGUCUCUAAUUAUAAGAGAAAGAAUACUUACAAUCAUAAUUGCUUUAAUGUUGUCAUUGGUGAUUGGGGUUUUAAGUUCUCCACUCUCCCUUAAUCUUAGUAGAACAUCAACUAAUUAAUCUUCACCUCCAAAUGCACCAUUUCCUUUUUUACCACUUGCAAUAUUCAUUUUGUGCUCAUUGAUUACAUCCUCAACUAUAACAUCAACAUUCUUGUGAACUUUCAAGAUUCUACUCUUCAAUCCACUUAGCACAUGAAUGAUCUUGAUUGAAGGGAAAAUGUCAGCCAUACUAAAUCCACCAGCCAAUUUCACCAAUUCCUUCACUAAUCCAAUGAAUUUCUCUUGAUCUUUCAACAAUUCCCCAAAUGCUGCUUUGCAUGUAAUUGAGCUCUGGUACCAUGAAAUAUGUUCGGUAAUAUUUAUUGGCACGCCACGUGUUGAUGACCGGAUGAAUUGCAUGAGGCUCGAAGCCUCGUCUCGCCUGAUGGAACUAAAGGACCGUACGUUCUUGGCAGUGAAAAGUUCCAAGACACAUAUUUUACGUAUCUGUCUCCAGUAAUCUCCAUAAGGACUAAACGCGAUAUCUGUGCUCUUGUAAAAUAUUAUGUCGAUGGAUACUAAUUUAGGCCUUGAUGCAAAAGCAAGGUCAUGAGUUUUCAGUACCUCUCGCGCCAUAACCACAGAAUAAACUACGACCAUAGAAAUUUCGCCUAGUUGAAGGUGCAUGAAAGGCCCAUAUUUUUUGCCCAAUUUUGUGAGUGCAUGAUGAGGAAGUCCACCUUCUAAUGCCAAGUGAUGGAUACUUCCUAAAAAAAGGCAAUUUCCAUGGUCCUGGAAGAAGUUUCUUGUUAAAGUUUCUUGAUUUUUUCCAUUCCACAAAUUGUAAAUAGAGGAAUGAUAGGAAAAGGAAUAAGAAAAUGAAGUUGAAUGGAAAUUGGAACUCCAUUAGAGCAAAGGCUAAGAGAGGGGUGUCUCAAUUCUCAAGUUCAAAGCUUUAUUUGUAUAGGCUUUCUUUUGACCUACUAUAUAAGAGCUUCUUGUAUAACUGUACAGGUGAACAAAAAAAAAUCAACAAAAUCGGCGCAUGUAUAUCUAAUGUAUCCAUAUUGUAAAUAAUCUAUAUGAUGUAUAACAAUAUAUCAUAGAUGUAUAUACAUCCAUAUAUGUUGUUUAUACAAUAUUCAUAUAUAACUGAUAGAACUAGUUCAUUUUCCUUAACGAGCUGAUUUUUAGUCGGUUAAUUUUUCCCUAUAUAUAAAAUCAUCUAGCAAUAUGCAGUUUGUAGACGUCCCUAGCUCAUUAAAUUUUUGGAAUUUUGUAUUUUGAAAAAGGUGAGUUUUUGGCCAACUUUGAGCAAUCAUAACUUCUAGCUCAAGAUGAGUUAGGUGUAGUUCCAGUUAUGGUUGCGUAAGCUUUGUGGAAUGAUCUUUCCAACGCCACCUAGUUUUCUCGAUUCCGAGUUCGUAUGAGUGAGUUAUGCCCUUUGUAAGUUGGGCAGUUGGCAGGGAAAUCCGUCCGGAAAUUGUAAGGGUAUUUUGGUCUUUUCCCCUAGCCAAUUGUUUUGGUUAUAUUGUUGUGUUAGACUGAUUUUNNNNNNNNNNNNNNNNNNNNNNNNNNNNNNNNNNNNNNNNNNNNNNNNNNNNNNNNNNNNNNNNNNNNNNNNNNNNNNNNNNNNNNNNNNNNNNNNNNNNNNNNNNNNNNNNNNNNNNNNNNNNNNNNNAGGAGAAGAAGAAGCAAGGUUCGUAGAGAUCGUCGUGGAUUUCGUCGGGGGUGAUCCCUAUUAAGGUAUGUGAGUUCAUAGUGUUGGGUUGGUUCUUUCCCCCACUCGCCAAGCUCGUUUUAUUUAUGAGAAAAGAUUGGUUGUGUUGUUGAAGUUGUUGAAGUCCCUUGUUGUCUUGGGCAUGUUUCCGGUUGUGUUUUGAAGUAGGAAUCUCUUGUAUGUUGAGGUAUUUUAUGAUUCUUAGUGGUUGGGGUUGAAACCAUUGAAGUUUAGAAGGUUUAGAAUUGGAGAAAAAAGGGAGAAAGGUCGAGUUUUCUGGGGAAGAGGGUGGCGCGUCACGCUUGCCAGCGCGCCCAAAAAGGGGUUCUGAAGGUUCCCCCUUGGGGCGGCGCGCCUAGCAGAACGCCAGCAGGCCCCCUCUGAAAUUCGAGGGCUGGCGCUCCGCGCCUUGCAGAGCGCCAAGGACGCCAAAACUUCUCUUUUAUUCCCCACCUUCUCAUGCAUGUUCCUUGGUAUUGUACCUAUGUUUCCUAGUUGUUUCCAACACUCCAAGGUACUUCUAAAAGUCAAGAACUCAUCCGUAACAUGAGAUCAAGCACCUUGAAUCUAUAAAUCCAAUUCAAGGAGAGUUAGUUUCCAAGUCAAGUGAAGUUAAGAGUUAAUCUUGGAAGUUAAGAAGCAAGUCAAACAAGUUUUUAAAGUUGUUUAAGAAUCUUUAUUGAACGUUUUAACUUCAUUUUAAGACUCAAGUUUCAAGUCAAGAAAAGGGUAUAGAGUUUCAAGUCAAGUAAAGGGUAUAGAGUUUCAAGCUAAGUAAAGAGUCUCAAGUUUCAAGUAAAGUCAAGAGUUUAAAGUGAGUUCUUUUCUCAAAAGUUAUUAGGGAACUAUGUAUUCCCAAAGAAGUUUUAAAGAAAUGUUUUUACNNNNNNNNNNNNNNNNNNNNNNNNNNNNNNNNNNNNNNNNNNNNNNNNNNNNNNNNNNNNNNNNNNNNNNNNNNNNNNNNNNNNNNNNNNNNNNNNNNNNNNNNNNNNNNNNNNNNNNNNNNNNNNNNNNNNNNNNNNNNNNNNNNNNNNNNNNNNNNNNNNNNNNNNNNNNNNNNNNNNNNNNNNNNNNNNNNNNNNNNNNNNNNNNNNNNNNNNNNNNNNNNNNNNNNNNNNNNNNNNNNNNNNNNNNNNNNNNNNNNNNNNNNNNNNNNNNNNNNNNNNNNNNNNNNNNNNNNNNNNNNNNNNNNNNNNNNNNNNNNUUCUGCUUAGUAUGGAUGGGGUAUGGGACUUCAUUCAUACAUUGCACGAGUAGACCUUGAGAGGAAGCAUGGUAUUUUAUGAUAUUAUAAAUAUGAUUUUGAAUGUCAUGUUUUAAUAGUUUUACAAGCUUUAUAUAUUGCAUGUGUCUUAUUGCUAUAUAUAUUGAGUUAAAUUAUUCAUGAGUUGAACAGAACCAAGGUAAGUGUUCUCCUAUACUCCUUUCAAGCUUAAGUUGUGGUUUAGCUUUCCAGCUCGCAUACUCGUACAUUCCAUGUACUGAUGCCAGUUGGCCUGCAUCUUAUGACGAUGCAGACACAGGUACCCAGGAUCAACAUCCAAUACGCCGUUGAUCCAGUUGAGCACUCCAGGGUCAGGGGUGAGCCUCCUUGUUUCCGGAGGACUAUGUUAUUUUGUGUUCUUAGUUUUGUUUUGUUAGGAUGUUGCGGGGUCUGUCCCAACAUCCAUCUAAGUAUUUAGAGGCUUCAUAGACAGUCAGUCAGUAAGAAUUGAGUCUCUCAGCUAUGUAUAUAUGUAAAUAUUCUAUUUUGAGACUCGAGUUGCCCUUUUGGGCCAGANNNNNNNNNNNNNNNNNNNNNNNNNNNNNNNNNNNNNNNNNNNNNNNNNNNNNNNNNNNNNNNNNNNNNNNNNNNNNNNNNNNNNNNNNNNNNNNNNNNNNNNNNNNNNNNNNNNNNNNNNNNNNNNNNNNNNNNNNNNNNNNNNNNNNNNNNNNNNNNNNNNNNNNNNNNNNNNNNNNNNNNNNNNNNNNNNNNNNNNNNNNNNNNNNNNNNNNNNNNNNNNNNNNNNNNNNNNNNNNNNNNNNNNNNNNNNNNNNNNNNNNNNNNNNNNNNNNNNNNNNNNNNNNNNNNNNNNNNNNNNNNNNNNNNNNNNNNNNNNNNNNNNNNNNNNNNNNNNNNNNNNNNNNNNNNNNNNNNNNNNNNNNNNNNNNNNNNNNNNNNNNNNNNNNNNNNNNNNNNNNNNNNNNNNNNNNNNNNNNNNNNNNNNNNNNNNNNNNNNNNNNNNNNNNNNNNNNNNNNNNNNNNNNNNNNNNNNNNNNNNNNNNNNNNNNNNNNNNNNNNNNUUAAGAAUUGCUAAAGUUGCAAGUUAUUCUCCCAAGUCAAGAACUAGAAUAAAAGUAAUAAUCUCCAACCCCCAAAACGAGGUUACAUGCCCUAUUUAUAGAAAACAAGUCCUAAAUUAAAAAGGGAAACAAAAUAAGGAAAGUUUGUUCUGGCUCACGUCUUCAUUCCACGAGACUGACUCACGGACCAUCACUGGAUCUACGGUCCGUGAGUCCCUUUCGUCAGCCAGGACUUAGAAAAUAUUUCAGCUUCCAAAAAUUAGCUUCUCUGAAGCAAACGACAGAGCUGCAGUACGGACCGUAGAUCGAUCUACAGUCCGUCAAUCCCUCUCCAUAGCUCCAUACUUAGAAUCUUCAAAAAUCAAGUACUGGAACCCUCAUAGUAUCAAUCUACGGAUCAUAAGUACGGUCCGUAGAUUAAUCUACGGACCGUCAAUGGCCACCGUGGUUCCACACUUGGUCAGAUUUCCUUGAUUUUGCCUUCCAUGCCUUGCCUGCUGAUCUACGACCACCAUCUACGGAGCGUCAAUGGACCUACGAUCCGUAGAUCACCUCUGUAGAUGCCCUUUUUCUGCAUUUCUUUCAACUGUCUCUUUACUUCCGCGCCUUAACAUCUUUCUGCAAAAUAAUGAUAAAAACACAUAAAAACCACUACAACAAGGCCCUAGACACACACAACUUGUAAAUGAAAUGUAUUAGAAAUACCGUAAACUCACGGUAUAUCAUAUAGCAGGAGCAACAAUUGAUUUUUAUACCAAACAAUUCACAAUGCUAGAGGCCAGUGGAGAUUAUGAAAUGCUGAAUGAACUACCACAAGUAAUGAGUGGAAAUAGAAUGAGGAAAUGCAGAGAGUGCCAACGAUAGAAGAGGUCAAAAAAUGGUUAUGGGGCUAAAUCAAAAUAGUGCAGGAGGACCAGAUGAGAUGACAGGGGCCUUCUAUCAAAGUACUUGGGAAAUCAUUGGGAAAGACAUUCUUAAAAUGACUAUAGCUUUUUUUUGUGGAGCUGAACUACCUAGGUACAUCACACACACAAAUCUAGUCCUAAUUCCAAAGAAGAUGAUGGUCAGUACAUUUUCAGAUUUGAGGUUUAUUUCUCUGAGUAAUUUUGUGAACAAAAUUUUUCACGAAUUAUCCAUGAGAGAAUUAAAGAAGUACUCCCUCAAAUCAUCUCUCCGGAACAAGAAAGAUUUGUACAAGGGAGAAGUAUAGUAGAGAAUGUAUUACUGGUCCAAGAAAUAAUUUCAAAAAUAAGAAAAAAGGGAACACCACCUAAUUUAGUCAUUAAGUUGGAUAUGAUGAAAGCUUAUGACAGAGUUGAGUGGCUUUUUCUAACAAAGGUGAUGAGAAGAUUGGGAUUUGGGGAUAUAAUAAUUGAUAUGGUGUUUAGACUGAUUAGCAACAACUAGUACUCAGUUUUGCUAAAUGGACAACAGAAAGGUUUUUUCAAAUCCUCAAGAGGUCUCAAACAGGGUGACCCUCUAUCACCCACUCUCUUUAUAUUGGCAACAAAAGUGAUGUCUAGAUCCCUAAAUGCCCUAAUGAUAAAGAAAGAGUUUAAAAGAUUUGGUAUGCCAAGAGGAAGCUUGAAGCUAAAUCAUUUAGCGUUUGCGUAUGAUAUGAUCAUAUUAUGUAAAGCGGAGGUAGGCACAAUGAAAAUGGUUAGCGAAACAUUGCAGAAGUAUGAAGAGGUAUCUGGACAAAAAGUGAAUUAAGACAAAAGUGCAAUUUACUUGCACCAUAGUGUCAACAGAGGAGAAUCAGUGGUAGCAGAAGUAGCAACAGGAAUCCUAAGGAAAGAAUUUCCUUUUACGUAUUUGGGGUGCCCUAUCUUUUACAAGAGAACGCAAAAAACGUACUAUAAACAGUUAAUUCAAAGGAUAUGAGCUAAAAUACAAGGAUGGAAAGGUAAGUUAUUAUCUUAUGGGGGACGGGCAGUUCUAAUUAAACAUGUACUACAGAGUACUCCUAUACAUUGUUUAUCAGUCAUGAAUCCUCCCAGCAAUGUCUUAACUGAUGUGCAAAAAACGAUGGCCCAAUUCUUUUGGAGUAGUUGCGUAGGAGGAAGAGGCAGACCUUGGAGUAAAUGGGGAAACCUAUGUCUACCAGAGCUGGAAGAAGGGAUAGGUUUUAGACUAAUGCAUGAUAUUUCAAUGGCUUUGUUUUGUAAGCUUUGGUGGAAUUAUAGAACAAAUAAGUCUUUAUGGAGUGAAUACAUGAGAAACAAAUAUUGCAAGUCAACGAAUCAGAAUCUGGUCAUGUGGGAAGUAGGAGGAGGAGCUUCACAAGUAUGGAAGAAAAUGCUACAAGCAAGAGAUCUAAUCGAGCAUCAAGUACUCUGGAAAACUAAGAAUGGAUCAGCUUCACUAUGGCACGAUAAUUGGACAGGACUGGGGGACCUGUAUACAAUUACGAGGGAAAACUUUGCAUGGGAUGAAAGGUAUGAAGUAGUUAGGGAUCUAACAAAAAAUGGGGAAUGAGAUAUGGAUUUAUUGAAUGAAACACUGCUAGCAGAAUAUGUUGAACACAUCAUAAGCCAAAUCAAGCCCCGUAAAGGUAACACAUAUGACAAACCUUGCUGCAUGUUAGAUACGAGGGGUAGUUUCUCAGUCAAAACAACAUGGAACUAUAUAAGGCACAAAGAGGAACCAAAUAUAAUACAUAGGUGGAUUUGGAAUAAGGGGACUCCUUUUAAAGUAGCCGUUAUGAUAUAGAGGUUGUGGAAGUUCAAAAUCCCUGUGGAUGAUAGAGUGAGAAGGUGGGGCCUUGAAGGACCUUCAAGAUGCUGGUGUUGUGACAAACCUGAUCAAGAAACACUGUCACAUGUGUUUCGAAAAUCAGAAAUUGCUAACAGGACUUGGUCCUACUUUUGUUCUUUUGUAGGUCUAAACAUUACAGGAUUGCAAUUAAGGGAAGUUAUAAUAUUAUGGUGGGGUGCGAACAUUAAGACAUAUAUGAGACCUUAUUAUAGAGCUAUUCCAGGAUUUAUAAUUUGGGAACUGUGGAAAAGAAGGAACAAACAGAAGCAUGAAGGAAAUAGCACUUCACUGCCCAAAAUAAUUCACAAUGUGACCAGACACAUGAAUAUGUUUGCUAAAGUGAAAAGGCCUACCAUGAGAGGAGGAAGCUGGCCAGAAAUACUUAAGGAAAUAGAGGAAUAUAGGCCUAAAAUUAAGGUCGUUCAGGUUAAAUGGGAAAUCCCACCGGCUGGAUGGAUUAAAUAUAACAUGGAUGGUGAAGCUAAAGGAUGUUAUGGAUUUAGUUCAUAUGCCUACUGUCUAAGAGAUGAGAAUGGAGACAUUAUAUUUGCAGAAGGUGCCAGGAUUGAAAAUACAACAAGUACUAUGGCAAAAGCAGUAGCGAUUUUAGAAGCCAGCAAACAUUGCAAGAACUCUCAAUAUAAUCAGGUCAUUAUUCAAACUGAUUCUAUGUUACUGUGCGGAGUGCUAAAAGGAAAAUGGGUCACCUUAUGGGCACUUUCAGAUAUUGUGGAAGAAAUCAAAACAUGCUUACAAGAUAAACAAUAUACAUAUCAACACAUUUUGAGGGAGGGAAAUCAACUUGCUGACUACCUAGCAAACAAAGCAAUAGAACAGGGGACCUGCAGAUAUGAUGAUUUCAAAAGCCUUGAACCACAUGAAAGGAGAAUCUUAAACAGUGAUAAAAGUGAAAGCCCAUAUUUAAGGAUAUCUUCCUUAAGGAGAUAAUGGGAAAGGGGAGGCUACAACAUAAAGUUUAUUCACAAUAACAGAAUUUACAAAAGCCAUAGGGGCGACAAAAAAUGUGAAAUGCUAAAUAGACAUGGCUAUCUCAGCCAACAACAACAAAGACUCAGCAAUUUGGGGGUUACAAGGUUCAGGCGAGUGAACCUGGAGGAGACACUUAUUCCCAGUUGAAAGUGGCGGAAUGCAGCUUCCAAGACACCCAUGCGAGCACCAUUUGGAGAAAUGAAGUGAGCAAAGUUAGUAAAGCACAAGGCAACAAAGGAGUUCAAUGAAGUGAAAAUACAUAGUGAAUAAGUCAUCCCUAUCAAAUGGCUUCAACAGAUCACUAGUAGAACGCAGUUCAUUGUACCAGAGAACUUAGCUAUGAACAAAGAUAUCAGAAGCAAAAACAAAGGGGAAGGGAGUAUAGCUGAAAAGGACACACUUACUAUCGAUAGCUUAAAUCCAACUUUGCAAGAAUCCCACAACAUAAUAUUAAAUGAUCCACAACAACAGGAGACAGAAUCCUUUGAUCAUCCAAAGUGAAAACAUAGCAAAAAUGGAAAGGGUUGGAAGGAAAGAAGAGUGGAGGUGGAUUGUUUUAGGAAACCCGAUAUUUGAGGGAUGUGAUUUAAGGAUGGGAAUCUGAUGGGCUGGAUUCCUGUGCCUUUAUUUUGCUUUGGUUGUUUCAUUAGUGGAUUUGGGUAAUAGACCCAAAUUUGCUUUGUUUCUCAUGUAGUUACUUUCCUAUUUAAUAAAAGGCUUUGCCAUAUUUUGAUUAAAAUAAAAAAAUAGACCGUAGGUCUGACCACGGUCCGUGGUCCAGGGCUGUAGGUCGAACCCCAGAAUUUUAGUCCCAGUCGCCGAACGACGGCCGACCAGCACGACCAUCGGUCGAUCACGGUCUGUGGGUCUGGUCCGUCGAUGACCCCGACAACUUUUAAGUCGGGGGUCGUUUGGUCUUUUCCUUAUGCGUUGGACCCCUAAACUACGUCAUUUAAUCCCUAAACUAUGUGGUUUUGGUCAGUUUAAGCUUAGUAACUUAAUUAGAAUCUACCCUAAGAAAAUCAUUCACCUAAAUUUAGAAAACAUAGAACGCAAGAGGAGAAAGAAGUUGACCAAGCCCUAGUCCAAGAACACAACAGGUUUCCACCAAUUUCAACCCUAAAAUCGAAAGAUUUCUCCGUGGAAUUCAUUACCAUGUAUGUGGGAUUUCACUAGUGGGUUCCUUUCACCCAUUAGGUCCCUAGAAUUUAGUCAAAUUCUUGAUUCCCUUAAUAUUAUCUAGACGUAAGGUUUCUAGAAUUUUAGCAGAUCAUUACAAUUUAGUUACUUUAAUGUUCCUAAUCAGAUUAUCAUGAUUUUAGUAUAAAUUCCUUCAUAUAUUCAGAACCCUAGCUAUGUAGUUCUUUUAGUUCAUGAAUUACAAAUGCUAGGUCAGUUUAUUCGGUUAUACAUGCUCCAGUUAUAAAUAUUUCAUUAUCAGUACAUAAUGUUGCAUUUUCAGUUAGCAUGUCAGUAUUUGAGCUAUCCAGAAUUACUUCAUUUCAGUUAUAAAUUGCUAAACUACAUAAUCAGUUGGGAGUAAACUUAAUACUGAGUGGACUAGGGUCAGUCACCCGCAAAUCCCAAAAGUGCGUGCCCCAUAGGUUGUAAGUCUCCUUUGUGGGCAACAUUUUAGUGAUCACACCAGUCAUGCCUUUAUAUCUCUGGCAGGGUAUAUUGGGUCCUCUCGAUGGGGUGUAUACAUCGAAAUCCACAUUUAGCUCAUGUGGUUUUAUGUCGGUUAUUAAUAGCUUCCACAGUUCAGUCAGAUUCUAUUGCAUUGACCAUGUUAUCAGUACAGUCCAUAUUCAGUCUCAGCAUGUUAUAAACUUGGCCAUUGCAUUCAGUUAGCUUAUGUUCAGUAUUUUCAUUAUCCUUAUCAUGUUUAGAUUAUGUCAUUGCUUUAUUGCUUUGUUCAGUUAUGUUGUUAUUCAGCUUUACGCUAUCCUUCAUGCUCAAUACCUUUCAAGUACUAACACAUACUCUACGCUACAUCUUCUCAUGAUGUAGGUUCAGGUCCUCAUCUUCAAGAUCACGCAUAGAUCGGUUCCCGAUAUCCAGUUCAGGAGCAUCAGUGGUGAGUCCUCAUAUCCCGAGGAAAUCAGGCAUGUUCUUUUGAUUUUAGUCUUUCAUUUUAUUUUCAAUUUUGCUAGAUUUAGCUGGGGUAUGUCCCAGCACUUCUAGUCAGUUAGAGGCUUAUUUCAGACAUAGUUAAAUUCAGCUUUAGUAUUAGAGUUUUACUUUUCAGUUGUUGUUAAACUUUUUUUUUUCUUAUAUUCAGAUUUAGUAUAUGGGUAUUCCCUAUCACUUCAUAUUAUCUCAGUAUUAGUUUCCGCACAGUAUGUAUUCAUUCAAUUUACUUUAGUAUGCUUAUGAUAUGCCAGCAGGGUUAGCUUGGGGUCACUCGUGAUCCUAGGUCCCGUGUUCGUGUCCUGGGGGUAGCUUUGGGGCGUGACAACACACCACAACAAAAUGGUGUGGUGGAAAGGAAGCAUAGACACAUUCUUAACAUUGCUAGAGCUAUUGAUUUCAAUCUCAUUUACCUAUUAGCUUUUGGGGGUAUUGCAUCAAGGCUGCAGUGUAUUUAAUGAAUAGAUUACCUAACUUAAUUAUUGCUAACAAAAGUCCAUAUGAAUUACUUCACUCUAAACAGCCAAAUCUGUCUCAUCUAAGAGUCAUAUGUUGUAUUUUCUAUGCUUCAACACUAUCUAGAGGGGAUAAGUUCUCAGCAAGAGCUGCUCCUGCCAUCCUCUUAGGCUACUCAGACCUACAAAAGGGUUACAUAUUGUUGGACAUCAAUUCUACCAAACUGUAUGUGAAUAGAGAUAUGGUUUUCCAUGAAGAAACUUUUCCAUUUGCCAAAGUGAUGCCUCAGACUAAUCCCUCAGUUGGUUCCCCUUUGGAGACAAUAUAAAAUCUUGAUCCGGUGAAUGAGUCUACUAAUGAAGAUAGUGACGAACCUGAAGCUGUUGUCACAAGAAAUGAAAAUGCUCACGCAGUAGAUGUUGGUAUUGAGAUUACUCAAAAAGAAGAUGUCAAUGAGAAUUCUUCAGUAUGCCAAAUGCCUUAAAUUGAUCCAGUACUAGAUAUUUCUGAAGUUUUCCCUAGGGUACCAUCACAUAUUGACCCUCUAAUCAGAAGAACUUCAAGAAACAUCAAAGAACCAAUUUGGAUGAAAGACUAUGUUACUACUAAGAAACACAGUAGCACCAGACAUCCUAUGGCCAAUUCUCUAAAUUAUGACAAACUGAAGCCUUGUUACAUGGGUUAUUUGAGCAAGCUUUCAGAUUGUGUGGAACCUAAGUACUUCAGCCAAGCUGCCAAGGAUGAGAGGUGGAUACAAGCUAUGCAGCAGGAAAUCAAAGCUCUUGAGGAAAAUAAUAUUCGGAUAGUGGUUGAUUUACCAAAGGACAUGCAUACAAUUGGUUCCAAAUGGAUAUACAAAGUGAAAUAUAGGGCAAGUGGUGAGGUAGAAAGGUUUAAAGCCAGACUAGUAGCAAAGGGAUAUAGCCAACAAGAAGGACUAGAUUAUCAUGACACUUUUUCUCAUGUUGGCAAGAAGGUGACAGUGAGAUGUGUCAUUGCUCUAGUAGUAUCAAAAUGUUAGACAUUAUACCAAAUGGAUGUCUAUAAUGCAUUUCUUCAAGGUGAUUUAGAUGAAGAGGUCUACACGGAGAUGCCUGAGGGUUUCAAAAGACCAGGUGAGAACAAAGUAUACAGGUUACUCAAAUCAUUGUAUGAGCUUAAACAGGCCUCAAGACAAUGGAACUUAAAACUCACAAAAACAUUGCUAGCCACAUGUUUCACUCAAAGUGCUCAUGAUUACUCAUUAUUCACACUCAGAAAGGGGGAAGACCUAGUGAUUGUUUUGGUCUACGUAGAUGACUUAUUGAUUACAUGGAGUAACACAAAGUUGAUCACUGAAGUUAAGGAAAUCCUGCAUAGACAGUUCAAGCUGAAUGAUCUAGGUGAACUUUCAGAAGGAGUUAUUCUGAAUCAAAGGGAGUAUAUCUUAGAGCUUAUUGCUGAUGCAAGCCUAACUGGUGCUAAACCUGCACUCACACCAUUGGAGUCUAAUAUGAGAUUGACAUCAGUGGAACAUGAUCUAACAACUGGCUACACUGGAGAUGCUAUGCUCUAUGAUAUUACUUCAUACCAAAGGUUGGUUGGUUGGUAAGCUAUUAUAUGCCACAAUCACUAGACUAGAUAUAAGCUAUGCAGUGCAAACACUCAACUAGUUUAUGCAAUCUCCUAAGAAGUCACACAUGGAGGCUGCUACUAGAGUGGUUAAGUAUUUGAAGGGUACAGUUGGUCAGGGUAUUUGGCUGCAUUCUGAACCUACCAACAUACUCACAUGUUGGUGUGAUUCUGAAUGGGCUGCUUGUCCCAACAUAAGAAGAUCCAUCACAAGAUAUGUCAUCAAGUUUGGAAACUCUUUGGUAUCCUGGAAAUCCAAGAAACAACAGACUGUUUCAAGAAGCUCAGCUGAAGAUGAGUACAGAAACAUGGCCUCAGCAGUCUCAGAAAUCACUUGGGUUCUAGGCUUGUUCAAAGAGCUAGGAAUAUCUAUCCAGUUGCCUAUUACUGUUUCAGUGACAGUAAAUCAACCAUCCAACUGGCAGCUAACCCAGUAUUUUAUGAAAAGACAAAACAUAUCGAGAUAAAUUGUCACUUCAUCAGAGAUAAGAUCAAAGCAUGGGUGGUUGACACUGCCUAUGUACACACACAACAACAACUUGCAGACUUAUUGACAAAAAGGUUGAGUCAGGCCCAACAUGUAUACCUUUUAGGCAAGCUUGGUAUGCUUAAUGUCAUGCACCCUUCAGCUUGAGGGUGUGUGUUGAAAUAGCUGAAUAUUCAGAAGUUAGUUACUAAUCCAUUAGUUAGUUAGAAGGUCAUUUCGGUCAUUUCAGAAUGUUAGUUAGUGCUAGUUAGUUGCCUCGAUUACUGUGCUGAUAAAUCAGUUAGUAGAUUAGAUAUUUUCUUCUUCUUCUUCUUCUGGCUUUCUAUAUAAUCUGAGGAUGUAUCUCACUUGUAAAAUGAUUUAGAUUCAUAUCAAUAAAAUUCUCUCUAUGUUUCCUCACUCCAGUUUCUUCUCUAAGUUCAUCAAUGGUGUUAUGAGCUUGUAUACUCACAAUUUUUUUUAGUCAGGUACAGUAAAUCCACCAGUCACUUCCACCAAAUUCCUUACUAAUCCAAUGAAUUUCUCUUAAUCUUUAAACAAUUUCCCAAAUGUUGCUUUGCAUGUAUUUGAGCUCUGGUACCAUGAAAUUUGUUUUGUAAUGUUUAUUGGCUUGCCACGUGUUGAUGAUCGGAUGAAUUGCACAAGGCUCGAAGCCUCUUCUCUCCUGAUGGAACUAAACGACCGUAUGUUCUUGGCAGUGAAAAGUUCCAAGACACAUAUUUUGCGCACCUCUCUCAAGUAAUCUCCAUAAGGACGACGCAAUGUCCAUACUCUUGUAAAAUAUCAUGUCGGUGGUUACUAAUUUAUGCCUUGAUGCAAAAGCAAGGUCAUGCGUUUUCAGUACCUCUCGCGCCAUAUCCAUAGAAGAAACUACGAUCGUCGAAAUUUCGCUUAGUUGAAGAUGCAUGAAAGGUCCAUAUUUUUUUCCCAAGUUUGUGAGUGCAUGAUGAGGAAGUUCACCUUCUAUUGCCAAGUGAUGGACACUUCCUAAAAAAGGCAAUUUCCAUGGUCCUGGAGGAAGUUUCUUGUUAAAGUUUCUUGAUUUUUUCCAUUCCACAAAUAGUAAAUAAAGGAAUGAUAGGAAAAGGAUUAAGAAAAUGAAGUUGAACGGAAAUUGGAUCUCCAUUAGAGCAAAGGCUAAGAGAGGGGUGUCUCAAUUCUCAAGUUCAAAGCUUUAUUAGUAUAGGCUUUCUUUUGGCCUACUAUUUAAGACCACCUUGUAUAAUUGUACAGGUGAACAAAAAGAAUCAACAAAAUCGGCGCAUGUAUACAUAAUGUAUCGAUAUUGUAAAUAAUCUACAGUUGUGUAUAUAUGAUGUAUAACAAUAUAUCAUAGAUGUAUAUACAUCCAUAAAUGUUGUUUAUACAAUAUUCAUUUAUAGCUGAUAGCACUAGUUCAUUUUCCUUAACGAGCUGAUUUUUAGUAGGUUAAUUUUUCCUUAUAUAUAAAAUCAUCUAGCAAUAUGCAGUUUGUAGACGUCCCUUGCUCAUUAAAUUUUUAGAAUUUGUAUUUGAUAAUUUACUUUCUUUUCCAUUUCUAGAAAAACCAACAAAAUAGGAAAAGAGACAAUAAGAUGUUAAUUUUUUGUCUAUUAAAAGUGAAUUAGAAAUCAUGCCGUGGAGAUUAACUCAACUAGUUUUCUACGUUAUAUAUAUAUAUAUAUAUAUAUAUAUAUAUGUUGUUUUUAAUAAUUAAAAGAUAUUUUUUUUCAUGUUUUACCCAUAGCAUUAAAUACUAUUCUCCAAAUCAUUUUCAAGUAAUAUUAAACAUCAAUUAAUAGGGAUAAUGUGGUAAAAUAUCUAUAUCAAUAGUUGUUUUUUCUUAAUGGGUACUGUUUGCAACAACUUUUAACGUGACAUAAAAUAAAUUCCAAUCACAAAAAAAUAUGAAGAAACAUAAUUUUAUUCAUCAAGAUUGCAGGUACGAUUCUGUUGAUCAGUUGAUUCCUCUCUCAUAAGAUUUAUGCAUGAUUUGAGGGCCGUUAGUGACAUAUUUCUCGAACUCGAAUGAUUUAGAUUUGACCUCUAUAUGAAUAUUCCAUGACUUUUGUGGAAUAUAUCGAGAUAUUCAAGAUUCAAGGGAAUAUAGUACCCUUUAUAUAGACAUGAACUAGAGUUUAGGGUUGAGUAGCCUCCAAAAAUUCUAAUUGGAAUUGAACACACCUUGUAGAGUCCCAACUCAAAUUGAACAUGUCUUGUAGAGUUCUAUAAAAUUUAAAUGUCUACAGGUACGUCAAGUCUAACAAUGACCAGUAAAAAUGAAUGGAGGGGUAGAUGGUUUAGAUUAUUUGCCAAAACCAACCAUGUAACCAUAGUCAAACAUUAUCUUCCUUCUCUAUCCCCGGACUCCCAACCAGGGGCAGAGCUAUGUGGUCGUGAGGGUAAAAUGAUAUACAAAGUGAUUAAAUAACAUGUUUUAGACACCCUUAACACAAUAGACUGUUGUAGCCUAGUAGUUUCAGACGCUUCAAAUGAGCCAGUAUUCACAUGAAUCAAACUAGCAGUUAUGCAAUUUUUGGAGACCAAAUUAUUGCUCCAAACCCUCUCCUUUUCCUUUCUGAUCUAUGUGCACGAGUUCAAGAGGAGAAUAGAGUUGGAACACAAAAAAAUCAAAAGGAUUAUACUUCAAUUGAGAUUCAUCAAUGGUUAAAAAAAACUCAUAACUUUACAUUUCUCAGGUGACCAAAAUGUUAUCUUUUCCUUUAAUUUCUUUUAAAGUCAAAAACAGAGAAAAUACGAUGAGACAAUAUUUUUUGCUUGAUUUUGCAGAAGUUUACAACUUGUGUUGUUCUUCUUCUCUUUUCUAAUACUGAAUUAUUCAAGCCGAGGAAAGUGGGCUGUAAUGGAGGACUUGGACGGAUGGGCUACUGCAGGGGAGCCAAAUCCUAGGAGAGAACAUGGAUCCUUUGAGCGAGAUAUUGACAAAAAGAAGAAGAGAAUAAUUCGCGGUAAGGUUGAAAAGAUUCAUUUGUGCCAUUAACACAGAACUAGAUUUUGUCACGUGACAUUAUUUAAAUCUGUCAUUAUAUAUUUAUAUACAUACAAAGUUAAAACAAGAUGACACAAAUAUCAUUAAAUACAUAAAAUACCCCGACUCCUAUAUUAAAUAUCAUUCAUGAGAAGGAUAAUAAGGAGUGGCAAUCAAGUAGAGCUCACUCUUUCUUGCUGCAGUUAUUCCGGAAAAUUCAGUCAUGUCCACAUACUUAGGCUUCAAACCAUCAGGUAAUUUCCAAUCAAAAUGAUACAACAAUUUAGCUAGUGGAAGAUAAACAUUGAUCAAACCAAAUGUAAUCCCAGGACACAUUCUCCUUCCGGCACCAAAAGGAAGAUACUCAAAGUUAUUCCCCAUGAAAUCCACAGAGCUCUGUUCGAAUCUCUCAGGGAUAAAGAUUUCUGCAUCUUCCCAAUACUUCGGGUCCCUCCCCAUUGCAUAAACGUUAACCAUCACUCUUGUUUUUAAUGGGAUAGUGUAACCGUUGAUGUUUGUUUCUUCCCUACAUUUUCUGGGGAUUAAGAGAGGGACUGGAGGAUGAAGUCUUAAUGUUUCUUUAACAACUUGUUUUAGAUAUUUCAAUUCCUCAAUAACAUCUUCAUCGAAAGUUUCUUUUCCUUUGAAGGUUUCUCUUACCUCAGCUUGUGCCUUCGCUAAUACACUUGGUUUCCUCAUCAUUUCUGACAUAGCCCAUAUCGUUGUUGUUCCUGAAGUUUCUGAUCCCGCAGAGAACAAGUCCUACAUUUCAUUAUUAAUAAAAGAAGAAUUUACAUGAAUAGCUGGCGAAUGUAUAAUAUGUGUAUAAAUUUGAAGGAUUUUCCCUAUAAAAGUAAGAAUACUUACUACUCCCUCCGUCCCAUUUUAUGUGAGGUAGUUUGACUCGGCACGGAGUUUAAGAAAGAAAUGAAGACUUUUAAAACUUGUGGUCCAAAAUGAAUGAUAGAAAUUUGUGUGGCUGUAAAUCAUUUCAUUAAGGGUAAAAUAGACAUUUUAUAGUGAAAUUGUUACUUAAUAUGGAAAUGAGUCAUUCUUUUUGGGACUGACUAAAAAGGAAAGUAAGUCACAUAAAUUGGGACAAAGGGAGUAUUAUAAUUGCUUUGAUGUUGUCAUUGGUGAUUGGAAUUUUAAGUUCCCCACUCUCCUUUAAUCUUAGUAGAACAUCAACUAAAUUUUCACCUCCAAAUGCACCAUUUCCCUUUUUACCACUUGCAAUAUUCUUUUUAUGCUCAUUGAUAACAUCCUCAACAAUAACAUCAGCAUUUUUAUGAACUUUCAAGAUUUUACUCUUCAAUCCACUUAAUACUUGAAGGAUCUUGAUUGAAGGGAAAAUGUCAGCCAAACUAAAUCCACCUGCCACUUCCAUCAAUUCUCUUAGUAUUCCAAGGAAUUUCUCUUGAUCUUUCAACAAUUCCCCAAAUGCUGUUUUGCAGGUAAUUGAGCUCUGGUACCAUAAAAUCCGCUCUGUAACAUUUAUUGGCUCGUCACGUGUUGAUGACCGGAUGAAUUGCACAAGGUGUGAAGCCUCGUCCCGCCUAAUGGAACUAAAGGAUCGUACGUUCUUGGUAGUGAGAAGUUCCAAGACACAUACUUUGCACAUUUGUCUCCAGUAAUCUCCAUAAGGACUAAAUGCGAUGUCAGUGCUCUUGUAACAUAUUAUGUCGAGGGCUAAUAAUUUAGACCUCGAUGCAAAAGCGAGGUCAUGAGUUUUCAGUACCUCUCGCGCCAUAUCCAUAGAAGAAACUACGAUGGUAGAAAUUUCGCCUAGUUGAAGGUGCAUGAAAGGUCCAUGUUUUUUGCCCAAGUUUGUGAGUGCAUGAUGAGGAAGUCCACCUUCUAAUGGCAAGUGAUGGACACUUCCUAUAAAGGGCAAUUUCCAUGGGCCUGGAGGAAGCUUUUUGUUUAAGUUUCUUGAUUUUUUCCAAUCCACAAGUAGUAAAUAGAGGAAUGAUAGGAAAAGAAAUAAGAAAAUGAAAUUGAAUGGAAAUUGGAACUCCAUUAGCUAGAUAGCUAAAGUUAAGAGAGGGGUGUAUAGGCUUUAAUUCAUCUGGCCUAAUAUAUAAUCCUACUGUCAAAGAGAAAAUGAUUUGAGAGUAAGGGUGUGUUUGGUGUGAAAGGAAAACAUAAAAAAUGUUAUCCGGAAAGUAAGUGUAUUUUUUGCUUAUUUUUGGUGUUUGGUAAGUAAACAUAAAAUGUCUUUUUUUGCUUAUUUUCGGGAUUUGGUAACUACUGUUUUAUUCGAAAAAUAUAAAUAAAAGAAAAAUGACUAGUUUUCGAAAAAUCGAUUAAACUUAUGGUUUAAGAGAAAUCGAAUUUCCAAAAGAACAGAGUCACCACUUAAUUUUUAGUAAAAAUCAAGAAAAAACUCAUAAGAUUUUCAAAAACUUAAACAGAUAAAAUCAAUUGAAAAUAAAGGGUUCGAGUUCAAAUGUACAUUCCGAGAAGGUGUUAGGCCCUCGGAAUGCCUGCUAACUUGCGAUUGACCGGCGAUUUGACUAAAACGACUUUGACUAAUUUUGAAAGAAUAUUAGCUAAGUAAAGAAAUCCACUUUUUAUUUAUUUGUUUACAUUUUUUAUUUAUUAUUAUUAUCAUAUGAUUAUCUUAAAGGAAAUAGGAGGGGGGGGGGGUUUCCUAAAGGGAAAUAAGUUAAGUGUUGACAAGACUAAUAUUAAAAUAAGAACUAAGUAAUAAAAUAUAUACCUUAAUUUGAAAAAAAAAAAGACCAUUCUCGGGAAUUUAAUUAAAUUUAACCAUAAGAUAAUGAAAACGUUAGUCAAAUACAACAAAAUAAAUAAGAGCAAGGGAAGGAGUAUUGAACUUGGGUCUUUGGCCCAAAUUCCCCAAAUCUGUUGAAUCCGUCCUAUUCUAAAAAUUUCCAACAUGAUUUUGGGCCCUUUUGGCCUAUCUUUGUUACGAAAUCUACUCAUUUCAGUCUCCUUUGGACUGCUGUAGCGCUUGAGCUUUUUUAGCCCAUUUUCGCCCCUGUAUCACAGUGUAUAUGUUAAGAAAUCACCACCAACUUAAUUAAUCUCCAAGACAUUUCAAAGAAGAAUCUAGAAUAUUCAAGAGUUAUAAAGAAAUAAAGGAAGAGCUCUAGAAUGAGUAUUCUAGAAGUAUUCUAGAGAGAAAAGUCUAGAGUUGUUCUAGAUAAGAUAGUUCUAGAAAUAGGAAGUUAGAAGAACAUUCUAGAAUGUAGUAGCAAAACCCUUAGCUAGAUUCUUCCAUCACCACCUAUAAAUAGAGGUGGUCCAUUUGAGUUGUAACCAAGAAAGAAAGAAAUCAAGAAACCAAGCAAGGAAAAAAGUAAGAAAUAAGAGAGCAAACAAGAGUGAGUGCUCAAGUAAAGAGUGUUGCUGAAGCAAGCAACAAGUGUGAUCAAGAUUGUAAGACCGAAGCUGGUCCUUACUUUGAUAUAAUAAAAUUUAAGUUGUCAGAAAUCGAUAGUGCCCGUCGUCUCCAAACCAAUAAUAUUCAACAGUAUACACCAGGUAUAUCGGUGUAUACAGGUGUAUCUCGGCCUGCUUUCAGCUUUCCGAGACCUGUACGUCAAUUUUUGUAGCUGGCCGACUUGAAAAGAGGGGAAAUUGAGCCUUUAUGGCUCUCUCGAAAUGCAAGAAAAGAAAGAAAAGGGAGUUCAUGGCGAACUCGGGCCGAUUUACAUGCAACAAAGCAAAAGGAUAAGGAUUAGUGUUCCAAAAUAAAUCGCAAGUCAUGGCAGCCUUUAAAUCACUGUACAACAAAUAAUUUGAGGGAACUCAAAACGACAUAGGGAUGCAAAAAUCCAAAGACAUCAAGAAUAAAAGCAUAUUAAUGCCCCAAUAAUAACUACUUAAGCUACUGCUCAACGCCACAAAAUAUAAUCUAGGAUGAGCAAAUGAUAUUCAACCUACUUAAUAAACAAAUAUGCUAAUGGCUGACACUGGCAAACAAUGCCGAAUAUUCGUAUAAAAGUCAUGUCAUAUGAAACACCAUAUUUGGUCACUUGAAACAGGACCCCUAUUCUAACUGACCAUACUACAAUAGGAAAAAUAUCAUCACUUUGUGAAACACAAGGCUCAAUUUUAGCUCUAGAAACAAAGAUUCACAAAAGUAUAUAAAAAAUAAAUAAAUAAGAAAACUCUUAAGAAGAUUAUUAUAUUUCAUCAUAAAGGGACGGAUAGCAUAAGAGCUCCAGAUUAGUCAAAUAUGAGAUUCUGCCCUUCAUUUUUUUUUAAUUUUGUCAAAAGGAAGUAACAUUACAACAGCAAGAGAAGGAAAACUAUAUGCUAGAAGACGGUGAACACCAAAACAUGAGUAAUCAAUGACAUUCAAGCAAGUAAAUACGAUAUAAAGGAUGGCGAAAUAGCCUCAAAAUAAACACCAAGAAACAGUGAAGCCAUACGUGAGACGAACAUCAGUAUCACGGACAUGCUAGCGAUUUUCAUUGGAACGGAAGAAAGGUCUUUUUUACAUACUAGUUGACUCAAGAUUCUCGUGAAUAACACCACUUAGUAAUAACAACCUAAAUGAUAGCACACCUUAUGCUUAAGGACAGUAUAGGCGAAAUAAUGUGAACUUAAUAGCAUUCUAAUAAUGAAUUCGAGAAAAAGAACACCAAAAUGCGCUCAAACACUGAAUACAAAUUAGUAGCAACUCAAUACAAUGUUAUGACUAACCCAUGGAAUAGAUACCUUAUGUCAAAACAACACCAAUGACAACGACAAUUAAUCAGCGAACAACCAACAGAAUAGUGACUUCCCAGCAUUAACAAACAAAAUAGAGAAAGAGAUGAAGAGAGAAGCCAUCGAAGGAAACGUUACCUUUUCUGGGCGGCGAACAGGGACCAAGCAAGCUGAACAGAGCUUCCCACAACCACAGCCAGAUUCCAAGAACUCAGGCGAAAUUCGAUGAGGCGAGAAAGGAGAAACAUAACUCUUUCUCUUUUUAAGCUAUGAUUCUCCCUAUAUCGGACUUUUGCCACAACUCUUUCUAUUUUUUUCUCUCAACUUUCUAACUCUAUUUUUUAAAACCUCUUAAGACUUUAAAAAAAAACCCCUCUUAAGACUAAAUGCAAAGAGAGCUUUUAUACAAGGAAAUUAGGGUAGAAAAAAAGGUGGAAAAUCCGAAUGGAAUUUUGCCAUUCGAAAUUUGAAAUCAAAAUCCUUUCAUCCUUUUGUACAAACAUCUUUUUCUGAGGCUUUCAACCCAUUCCGGAAGAGGAAAGGGAAGAAAAACGUGUGCCCGCCUUUCUGCUGGGGUCGUACAAAUGCAGAGAGACGCGGCUAAGGCUGUACCAGGCAGAAAAGGAAGAAGGAAACGUGGGCGUGAACUCGCUGUGUAUUUUCCGUCUAUUCACGUGAGCUGCUGGGUUCGGGUCGACUCGCUGGAGCUGGGUUUCGCUUACUGGACUGCUCGUUUUUCUGGGUUUCUGGUUUUGCACGCGAGGAAGAAGGCACUGUUGGGUUCUUUUUGGUAUUUUUGUUGGCAGGGAUUCAAAAAGGGAAAAUUAGCAAUUAAGUUAUAAUAUCUAACAUAAUUAGUCAAAAUAACAACACUUUAAAAUAUUUAUUUGAAAUGGCAGAAUGACAAUAUUUUUACAAAUAAUAUGUAUUCAGAUUUUAGUAUUUUAAAUUAAUUUUAUUUAUGGAAAGAGUCCUAUAUUGGACCAAAUUAUAUACCAAUAUCCGUUUAAAGUGAAAUAAAAAAUUAAACCAAUACCAUUAACCUUUUUUCAUCACCAUUCACGUUUCUUCCCCACCUUUCACGUUUCAAGUUUAUUUUUCUUCAAGGUGCUAAAUUGUUGUUCAUCAAUAAAUUUUCUUUAUUGUUAAACGAAAUCUCUUUAUUAAUUCAAGCAAAUUUCUCGGUUGGCAAGGUAAUUUCCAUUAUCCAUUUCGAUUAGUUAUUUUGAUUUCUUUUUAUUUGUUUUUAAUAUCACCGUUUAUGGUUUAUAUUUCGCAUUGUACAUAUUACGGAUUUUCCGUCAAUUUUUUUUAUUUUUAUUAGCAAGUUUGUUUACAUAAUAUUCAUCUAAUAUUUAUGUAUUUCAAUUUAGUUAUUUAGAUUUCUUUUUAUUUGUUUUCAAUAUCACCGUUUAUGAUUUAUAUUUCGCAUUGUACAUAUUACGGAUUUUCCGUCAAUUUUUUUUAUUUUUAUUAGCAAGUUUGUUUACAUAUUCAUGUAAAAUUUAUGUAUUUUUAGUCUAUUAAACAAUUUUUUUUCAAUUUUUUUCUGAUUUCGUUUUAAUAUUUUAGAUUUAUUAGAAUCUACAAAUUCAUUCAUAUGUUUAUUUUGUUUGAUUUUUAAUACAUUUAUAUUUGCUUUUAGAGUUUUAGAUUUGGGGAAAGCAUCUGUCUGUCUAUAAUGUCUGAAUCAACAGUUUAUUUAUGUAUUCAUUCUAUCUAUAUAUCAACAAGUUUUACAUUUUUUGUUUUAACAAUGUAUUUCAAUCUCAAUUAGUAUACCAACAUGUUUGUAUUUCCUUCUUAAUUUGUAUUCAUCCUAACUGUAUGCUAACAAUUAUGUAUUUUAUUGGGUAUUCAUUCUGUAUUUCAAUCUCAAUUUAUAUGUGAACAAGUUUGUAUUUUCUCUUUUAUGUUGUAUUCAACCUAAUUGUAUACCAACAAGUUUUGUAUUUUAUGUGCCUACUUUACCUUUCAAAGUCACUUUGUAUUUCAAACAAAGAGAGUAUUUAAUUUCUUUUGUAAUCACAACUUUAUAUUCAAUCACUUUGUAUUUAUAGUAUAUAAUUAGUAUAUUUUAUAAAUAUUCAAAAAUCGUCUCAAAAAGAUUUGGUUUAUUUGAAUACUUGGUUAAUUAGUUCAAUUAUUCAAUAGUUUAUAUUUUUGAGUUAAUUAAUUCAUAAUUAAGUUGAUUAUUUUAUUUCGUUAAAAUUAAGAAGCUCAUUAAUUAAUUUACAUUAAUUCGUCUUAUUUGAAUUUCGGCCAAUUUCAACCAAGUGCCUCAAUUUGAUCGAAAUUACAAUUUUACGUGGUUAUUUUCUUAAUUCAAAUCGACCACAUUCUUGGUUAUCCUUUUGGACCCAAUUCUUUCAACCCAAAUUCCUUUACCUCCAAUUCCCAAUUCUUAACAGCAACCCAACUCAAUUUCCCAAGCCCAACUCCAAUAGAAACCCAUCAGAAAGCAACUCAAUUAUUGUAUGCAUUCAAACACGGGUUGAUAAUUUUAAAACCGAUUAAGUUGGUUUGGUUUUGGUUUUGACCAAUAACCGAUCCAAACCAACCUGUGUUUGAAUGCAUACAAUAAUUGAGUUGCUUUCUGAUGGGUUUCUAUUGGAGUUGGGCUUGGGAAAUUGAGUUGGGUUGCUGUUAAGAAUUGGGAAUUGGAGGUAAAGGAAUUUGGGUUGAAAGAAUUGGGUCCAAAAGGAUAACCAAGAAUGUGGUCGAUUUGAAUUAAGAAAAUAACCACGUAAAAUUGUAAUUUCGAUCAAAUUGAGGCACUUGGUUGAAAUUGGCCGAAAUUCAAAUAAGACGAAUUAAUGUAAAUUAAUUAAUGAGCUUCUUAAUUUUAACGAAAUAAAAUAAUCAACUUAAUUAUGAAUUAAUUAACUCAAAAAUAUAAACUAUUGAAUAAUUGAACUAAUUAACCAAGUAUUCAAAUAAACCAAAUCUUUUUGAGACGAUUUUUGAAUAUUUAUAAAAUAUACUAAUUAUAUACAUAAUUAUCUAAAGCAUACAUAUUAUUUAAAAAUUAUAAAAAGUGACAAAACUAUUUAAAAUAACUUGAAAAAUAUUUUGAAUUUUAUAAAGUCAAUUAUUUCGAAUCAUUUGGAAUUUAAAGAAGCUUGAAAAUUAAUAUAUAUUGGGAGGUCCAAAAUUGGGUGUCAACAACUACAAAAAAAAAAAAGUGUUCUGAAACUUUUUUGAUCAACCAAACAUGAUUGUUUUUGGAAAAAACUCCACACAAAACACACACUAAAUAUAAUACUAAUCUUAUACCUGCAAAUCAUUAUCUCGUAUAAUAUAAUACUAAAUGAAAGUUGAAUUCGAGAUAGAUACAAUGUAUAAACUUAUAAUAUUUGCUUAUCAACGUUUGGUGAAAGCAAUAAACCUGUUUUUAAUUGUAUUGUAUUCAAUUAUCACCUAAUUGAUAUCAAUACAAUAGCGAAAACAUCUUUAAUUAAUUUAAUGUCAACCACAUGAUGUAUUAACAACCAUUAAAUUAGAGCCGGCAAUGUGGAAAAUUUUAUGCGAAUCAAUAUUGAUUAUUGAGUAUCGACCUAUCCUAUCGUCACAAUUCGUUUCGUAAUUAAAUGAGUCUUGAUCACCAGCGGAAGGUUAAUCAUUAAUUUUUUAAACUUUCAUGGUUAGCUUAUUUUUUCAACAAUAAAGACCAUUGAGUUCUUGUAAUUAUUGGGAGAUCAAUAUUCCAUAAAUAGUACUUUUGCCAUUAAUUCUUUAUGAAACUAUUUUUUUAAUAAUCUCAAGAAGUUUUUUUAAGGGAUAAAUUACUAAAAUUAUAUUUUUAUUUAUGAUUUCUUAAUAUACGUGUAAAAAGAAAAAUGAUUCACUAAUAUGAAACGGAGGAUUAACUAAUAUGACUUUUCACCGGAUAACUAUUGGUUUUCUUUGUUUACAUGUUUCUCCAUCCGCAGAAAUGAUCCAAGUGAACCGUUAAGAAAUUCAUUAAUCACUGUUAAAUUGAUAAUGAAUUAUAUUAUCUCAUUCAUUAUAUUCUUCUUAAUAAUCAGCUUUUAUAAAUCAAACAAUAUGUAUAACUCCACCAUUGAAAGAAAUAGUAGAGGAACACUCCAAAUUUAAAAGGUAAACGUUUAUGUUUACUUUACUUUACUCUGUUACUUCAUAUAAUUAUUCAUGUUUGCAUCUAUUAUAUUUUUUAGCUCCAAAUUAGAGUUAAUCAUACAUUAUUUUUAGUAAUAUUAUUUAGCAUAUAAAUAUAUUAUAUGUUUACAUCUAUUAUCACAUCAAAAUGCAAACUUGCAGUUUCACAUGAUAUAUAUAAUGUAUUUAUCGUCCAACAAAGAAAUAAUUCAAUAGAAUGUGUGUUCAUCAAUUUUAGCUUGUAAUUUUAAACAAGUUUUGUUAUUGAAUACAUUACACCUUUAAUAUAAUUUAUAUUAUAUAUACUACUUACACAUUGACAUAUUUACAAUGCACGUCUCUAAAAACUGAUAUUAUUAAAUACAUAAAAUACCCUGACUGUUGUAUCAACUAUCAUUCUUGAGAAGGAUAAUAAGGAGUGGCAAUCAAGUAGAGUUCACUCUUUCUUGAUGCAUUUAUUCCAUCACAUUCAGUCAUGUCCAAAUUCUCAGGCUUCAAACCAUCAGGUAAUUUCCAAUCAAAAUGAUACAACAGUUUAGCUAGUGGAAGAUAAACAUUGAUCAAACCAAAUGUAAUUGCAGGACACAUUCUCCUUCCGGCACCAAAAGGAAGAUACUCAAAGUUAUUCCCCAUAAAAUCCACAGAGCUCUGCUCAAAUCUCUCAGGGAUAAAACUUUCCGCAUCUUCCCAGUAUUGGGGGUCCCUCAUAAUCGCCGAAACAUUAACCAACACUCUUGUUUUUAAUGGAAUAGUGUAACCAUUGAUGUUUGUUUCUUCCCUGCAUUCUCUAGGGACUAAGAGAGGGGCCGGAGGAUGAAGUCUCAAAGAUUCUUUAACAACUUGUUUUAGGUAUUUCAAGUCCUCAAUAAUAUCUUCAUUGAAAGUUUCUUUUCCUUUGAAUGCUUCUCUUACCUCAACUUGUGCCUUUGCUAGUACACUUGGGUUUCUCAUCAUUUCUGUCAUGGUCCAUAUUGUUGUUGUUGUUGAAGUUUCUGUUCCCGCAGCGAACAAGUCCUAUAUUUCAUUAUUAAUUAAAGAACCAAUAAAUUCACUUAUUUUCCUAAAUAAUACUGAACACACCCUUAGAUAUUUUUUUUAAGGGAAAAGACUUAAAUAUGUCAUCGAACUUUGAGAAAAAACUCAUCUAUGACAUCCGUUAAAAGUUUGACUCAUCUAUAUCAUUUUUGUUAGAGAAAAAUCUCAUCUAUGCCUUUAUUUAUUAACUGAAAACAGUUUUGGUUUUGCAAACCCAUUUUUUUUUACAUGUGGUCAAUUAUGAUCCGGUCACUUGAUUAAUUAAAUAAUUUUUAAAAAGGGAUUAGGUUCAAAUAUCCCAUCAAUCUUACAGAAAGGCUCAUCUAUGUGUUUGAGUCAUAUAUACUAUUCCAGUUAACAAAUAAUGACUUGGAUGAGUCUUUUUUCAAAAGAAAAUGACAAAGAUGAGUCAAAUUUUUAACGAAUUGCAUAGAUGAGUCUUUUUUCUCAAAAUUCGAUGGUAUAUUUGAGUCUCUAAUUAUAAGAGAAAGAAUACUUACAAUCAUAAUUGCUUUAAUGUUGUCAUUGGUGAUUGGGGUUUUAAGUUCUCCACUCUCCCUUAAUCUUAGUAGAACAUCAACUAAAUCUUCACCACCUUAAUCUUAGUAGAACAUCAACUAAUUAAUCUUCACCUCCAAAUGCACCAUUUCCUUUUUUACCACUUGCAAUAUUCAUUUUGUGCUCAUUGAUUACAUCCUCAACUAUAACAUCAACAUUCUUGUGAACUUUCAAGAUUCUACUCUUCAAUCCACUUAGCACAUGAAUGAUCUUGAUUGAAGGGAAAAUGUCAGCCAUACUAAAUCCACCAGCCAAUUUCACCAAUUCCUUCACUAAUCCAAUGAAUUUCUCUUGAUCUUUCAACAAUUCCCCAAAUGCUGCUUUGCAUGUAAUUGAGCUCUGGUACCAUGAAAUCUGUUCGGUAAUAUUUAUUGGCACGCCACGUGUUGAUGACCGGAUGAAUUGCAUGAGGCUCGAAGCCUCGUCUCGCCUGAUGGAACUAAAGGACCGUACGUUCUUGGCAGUGAAAAGUUCCAAGACACAUAUUUUACGUAUCUGUCUCCAGUAAUCUCCAUAAGGACUAAACGCGAUAUCUGUGCUCUUGUAAAAUAUAAUGUCGAUGGAUACUAAUUUAGGCCUUGAUGCAAAAGCGAGGUCAUGAGUUUUCAGUACCUCUCGCGCCAUAUCCAUAGAAGAAACUACGACCAUAGAAAUUUCGCCUAGUUGAAGGUGCAUGAAAGGCCCAUAUUUUUUUGUCCCAAUUUUGUGAGUGCAUGAUGAGGAAGUCCACCUUCUAAUGCCAAGUGAUGGAUACUUCCUAAAAAAGGCAAUUUUCCAUGGUCCUGGAGGAAGUUUCUUGUUAAAGUUUCUUGAUUUUUUCCAUUCCACAAAUUGUAAAUAGAGGAAUGAUAGGAAAAGGAAUAAGAAAAUGAAGUUGAAUGGAAAUUGGAACUCCAUUAGAGCAAAGGCUAAGAGAGGGGUGUCUCAAUUCUCAAGUUCAAAGCUUUCUUUUGACCUACUAUAUAAGAGCUUCUUGUAUAACUGUACAGGUGAACAAAAAAAAAAUCAACAAAAUCGGCGCAUCUAUAUGUAAUGUAUCCAUAUUGUAAAUAAUCUAUAUGAUGUAUAACAAUAUAUCAGAGAUUAGGGGUGUACAAAACCGAAUCGAACCGAAAAUCGAAUCAAACCGUAAACCGAGUCAACCCGAAAAAAAUUCCGACUAGUGGUUUGGUUUGACUUGGUUUGGUUUUGAAAAGAAAAACCUUGACUAUAUUUGGGUUGGUUUGGUUUUAACUAAAAAAAAACAACUCGAGACCAAACCAACCCGACAUUUAUAUAUAAUUUUAUAAUUUUAUUUUAUACAUAAAAAUAUUUACUUUGAUAUAAUUUUUAAAUAUUUCUUAUACUUUUNNNNNNNNNNNNNNNNNNNNNNNNNNNNNNNNNNNNNNNNNNNNNNNNNNNNNNNNNNNNNNNNNNNNNNNNNNNNNNNNNNNNNNNNNNNNNNNNNAACUAAUACUUAUUAAACUUAAUUUUAGCAUGAUUUAGUACUUUUAAAUUAUGAUCAUUUUCAUUAUGACUUGUUAAUUUGCAAUAUUUGUUUUACGCGAUUUCAUUAUUAUUAUUUUUGUUGGAUAUUUUAGUGUCAUUAAUCAUAUCAUAUUGUGUUAUAUUUUUAAGAAACAUCUUAGAUAAUUGUAUUUUGGUAGGACUAAAGAAAUAUUUGAAGUACUAGUAAAUUAUAUGUUUGUAUGAAUACUUUACCAGAAAAACCCGAAACAACCCGAAAAAACCCGAGUUUUAUUGGUUUGGUUUGGUUUAUAAAUUUAAAAAUCCGACACAAAUGGUUUGGUUUGAUAUUUGAAAAAUCCGAACCAACCCGACCAUGUACACCCCUAUGGCCCUAUCAGAGAUGUAUAUACAUCCAUAUAUGUUGUUUAUACAAUAUUCAUAUAUAGCUGAUAGAACUAGUUCAUUUUCCUUAACGAGCUGAUUUUUAGUCGGUUAAUUUUUCCCUAUAUAUAAAAUCAUCUAGCAAUAUGCAGUUUGUAGACGUCCCUAGCUCAUUAAAUUUUUGGAAUUUGUAUUUGAUAAUUUACUUUCUUUUCCAUUUCCAGAAAAAACCAACAAAAUAGGAAAAACACAAUAAGAUGUUAAUUUUUUGUUUAUUAAAAGUGAGAUUAUAAAUCAUGUCGUGACGAUUAACUCAACCAGAUUUCUACUAUUUAAAAGAAAAAAAAAUUACAAAAAUAUAUAUAUGUUGUUUUUAAUAAUUAAAAGAUAUUUUUUUUUUCAUGUUUUACCCAUAGCAUUAAAUACUAUUCCCCAAAUCAUUUUCAAGAUCUAAUAUUAAACAUUAAUUAAUAGGGAUAAUGUGGUAAAAUAUCAAUAUCAAUAAAAAAAAAAUCUUAAUGGGUACUGUUUGCAACAAAUUUUAACGUGACAGAAAAUAAAUUGCAAUCACAAAAAAUAUGAAGAAACAUAAUUUUAUUCAUCAAGAUUGCGGGUACGAUUCUGUUGAUCCCUUGAUUCUUCUCUCAUAAGAUUUAUCCUUGAUUCGAGGGCCGUUAGUGACGUAUUUCUCAAACUCGAAUGAUUUAGAUUUGACCUCUAUAUGAAUAUUCCAUGACUUUUGUGGAAUAUAUCGAGAUGUCUUUUCAAGGGAAUAUAGUACCCUCUAUAUAGGAAUGAACUAGGGUUUAGGGUUGAGUAGCCUCCAAGAUAUCUAAUUGGAAUUGAACACACCUUGUAGAGUCUCAACUCAAAUUGAACACGUCUCGUAGAGUCCUACAAAAUUUCAAUGUCUACAAAUGCCCCCUGCUUCAAGGCUUGUCGGAGUGCUUGAAGUACUCAUUCUUCCACCUUUGUAGGUUUAGAUUUUCAUAUUUAAUUUAAGAGAGAAGAGAUGAAGGACAAAUUUGGUCCCACUGGGCGUGCCAAUUUGUUUGCAACAAGUUAUAAAAUGACAGAAAAUAAAUUGUAAUCACAAAACAAAUGAAGAAACAUAAUUUUAUUCAUCAAGAUUGCGGGUACAAUUCUGUGAUCCUUUGAUUCUUCUUUCAUAAGAUAUUUAUCCAUAAUUUGAGGGAUGUUUGUGGCAUAUUUCUCGACCUAGGAUGAUUUGGACUUGAUCUACAUAAUUUGAGGGUCGUUAGUGGCUUAUUUUCAAACUAGGAUGAUUUGAACUUGAUAUUCAUAAUUUAAGGACCGUUAGUGGCGUAUUUCUUGAAUUAAGAUGAUUUGGAUUUGAUCUCUUUAUGAAUAUUUCAUGAGUUUGUGGAAUAUUUGAGAUAUUCGAGAUGCCUUUACAAGGGAAUAUAGUAACCUUUAUAUAGACAUGAACUAGGGUUUAGAGUUGAGUAGCCUCCAAGAAUUCUAAUUGGAAUUGAACACACCUUGUAGAGUUCCAACUCAAAUUGAACACGUCUUGUAGAGUACUAGUUCUACAAAAUUUCAAUUUCUACAGAUACGUCAAGUCAAACAAUGACAAGUAAAAAUAAAUGGAGGGUUAGAUUAUUUGCCAAAUCCAACCAUGUAACCAUAGUCAAACAUUAUCUUCCUUCUCUAUCCCCGGACUCCCAACUAGGGGCAGAGCUAUGUGGUCGUGAGGGUAAAAUGAUAUACAAAGUGAUUAAAUAACAUAUUUUAAACACACUAAACACAAUAGACUAUUGUAGCCUAGUAGUUUCAGACGCUUCAAAUGAGCUAGUAUUCACAUGUUCGAAUCAAACUAGCAGUUAUGCAAUUUCUGGAGACCAAAUUACUGCUCCCAACCCUCUCCUUUCCCUUUCUGAUCAAUGUGCACGAGUUCAAGAGGAGAAUAGAGUUGGAACACGAAAAAAUCAAAAGGAUUAUACUUCAAUUGAGAUUCAUCAAUGGUUAAAAAAAACUCAAAACUUUAUAUUUCUCUGGCGACCAAAAGGUUCUAUUUUCCUUUAAUUUCUUUUAAAGUCAAAAACAGAGAAAAUACGAUGAGACAAUAUUUUUCACUUGAUUUUGCAGAAGUUUACAACUUGAGUUGUUCUUCUUCUCUUUUCUAAUAUUAAAUUAUUCAAGCCGAGGAAAGUGGGCUACAAUGGAGGAAUUUGAUGGAUGGGCUAUCGGAGGGGAGUCAAAUCCUACGAGAACAUGGAUCGAGAUAUUAACAAAAGAAGAAGAGAAUAAUUCGCGGUAAUGUUGAAAAGAUUCAUUUGUGCCAUUAACACAGAAUUAGAUUUUGUCACGUGACAUUAUUUAAAUCAUUCAUUAUAUAUUUAUAUACAUAAAAGGUUGAAACAAGAUGACACAAAUAUCAUAAAAUACAUAAAAUACCCCAACUCCUAUAUUAAAUAUCAUUCAUCAUGAGAAGGAUAAUAGCGAGUGGCAAUCAAGUAGAGCUCACUCUUUCUUGCUGCAGUUGCUCCAGAAAACUCAGUCAUGUCCACAUCCUUAGGCUUCACACCAUCAGGUAAUUUCCAAUCAAAAUGAUACAACAAUUUAGCUAGUGGAAGAUAAACAUUGAUCAAAUCAAAUGUAAUCCCAGGACACAUUCUCCUUCCGGCACCAAAAGGAAGAUACUCAAAGUUAUUCCCCAUAAAAUCCACUGAGCUCCCCUCGAAUCUCUCAGGGAUAAAGCUUUCCGCAUCUUCCUAAUACUUUGGGUCCCGCCCCAUUGCAUAAACGUUAACCAUCAGUCCAUCACUCGUGUUUUUAAUGGGAUAGUGUAACCAUUGAUGUUUGUUUCUUCUCUACAUUCUCUUGGGAUUAAGAGAGGGAGUGGAGGAUGAAGUCUGAAGGUUUCUUUAACAACUUGUUUUAGGUAUUUCAAGUCCUCAAUAACAUCUUCAUCGAAAGUUUCUUUUCCUUUGAAUGCUUCUCUUACCUCAACUUGUGCCUUUGUUAAUACACUUGAUUUUCUCAUCAUUUCUGUCAUGGCCCAUAUUGUUGUUGUUGUUGAAGUUUCUGUUCCCGCAGCGAACGAGUCCUACAUUCAUUUUUAAUCAAUGAAGAAUUAACAUGAAUAGUUGCACAUCCAUUCGACUGCUUAAACUAAAAUUAGCUUGCGAAGGUAUAAUAUUGGCUGGCCACAUGUUGAUGACAGGAUGAAUUGUACAAGGCGUGAAGCCUCGUCCCACCUGAUGGAACCAAAUUAAAGGAUCGUACGUUCUUGGUAGUGAAAAGUUCUAAGACACAUACUUUGCGCAUCUGUCUCCAGUAAUCUCCGUAAGGAGUAAAACCGAUGUCCAUACUCUUGUAACAUAUUAUGUCGACGGCUAAUAAUUUAGGCCUCGAUGCAAAAGCAAGGUCAUGAGUUUUCAGUACCUCUCGCGUCAUAUCCAUAGAAGAAACUACAAUCGUUGAAAUUUCGCCUAGUUGAAGGUGCAUGAAAGGUCCAUGUUUAUUGCCCAAGUUUGUGAGUGCAUGAUGAGGAAGUUCACCUUCUAAUACCAAGUUAUGGACACUUCUAUAAAGGGCAAUUUCCAUGGGCCUGGAGGAAGUUUUUUGUUUGAGUUUCUUGAUUUUUUUCCAUUCCACAAGUAGUAAAUAGAGGAAUGAUAGGAAAAGGAAUAAGAAAAUGAAGUUGAAUGGAAAUUGGAUCUCCAUUAGAUCAAAGGCUAUACUAAGAGGGGUGUCUCAAUUCUCAAGUUCAAAGCUUUAUUAGUAUAGGCUUUCUUUUGAUCUACUAUAUAAGAGCUUCUUGUAUAGCUGUACGGGUGAACAAAAAAAAAAUCAACAAAAUUGGCACAUGUGUAUGUAAUGUAUCUUGUAAUUUUGUAAAUAAUAUACAGUGAUGUAUAUACAAUGUAUAACUAUAUAUCAAGAGAUGUAUAUACAUCCAUAUUGUUGUUUGUAUAAUAUUCAUAUAUAGCUUAUAGCACUAGUUCAUUUUCCUAAACGAGCUGAUUUUUAGUCCAUUAAUUUUUCCCUAUAUAUAAAAUCAUCUAGAAAUAUGCAGUUUGUAGACGUCGUUAUCUCAUUAAAUUAUUGGAAUUUGUAUUUGAUAAUUUUCUUUCUUUUCCAUUUCUAGAAAAACCAGCAAAAUAGGAAAAGACACAAUAAGAUGUUAAUUUUUUGUCUAUUAAAAGCGAGAUUAGAAAUCAUGUCGUGAAGAUUAGCUCUACCAGUUUUCUACUAUUUGAAAGAAAAAAAAAGUUACAAAAAAUAUGUGUUGUUUUUAAUUUAUAUUUUAGUAAAUCAACUAGUAAUUUUCUUAAUUGAAAUGUAGUUAAUUAAUAAUUAAUUUUUUAUAUUUUGUAUUCCCUUCAUGAAAAAAAUAAAGAGCAACUUUCACAUAUAGCAAACAUAAAAAUCAUAUUUGUAUGAUAUAGCUAUAGUUUGUAUAAUUGCGCUCCAUAAUAAACUUUAUGUUUGCUAUUAAGCAUCAGAAUGUAUAACUCGCUGACAGGAGUUUCAGAUUUGUAUAAUUUCGCUGAUCGGCCAUUUGUAUAAAUCGCUAGCAGCCUCUCAAUUUAAUUUUAUGUAUUUGUAUAUCUGCAUAAAAUUUGAAUUUGUAUACAAAUGAAUCGAAAUAAAACAUUUGUAUAUCAAAUCUCUCUCUCGCUUUAUACAACACAAAUUAUACAUUGUAAUUUGUAUAAUCUGUGUUUGUAUAAAGCGAGAAAGAGAGAAAGACAAAAGAGAACUGGACAGGGGAAGAUCUAUAUUUGUAAUAAUUAUAAGUGUAUAUGUAACAUCCGACAAUUUGAAAUAGCUAAGAAGAGGCUUAGAAUUUGAAAAUUUUUAUUUUUGGAAAGGAUUUGAAAAUCUGGAAAAUUUGGCUAAGUAUGGAAAUCAGUGAUUUUUGGCCAACUUUUGAGCAGUCAUAACUUCCAGAUCAGGAUGAGUUAGAAGUAGUUCCAGUUAUGGUUGUGAAGCUUGUGGAAUGAUCUUUCCAACGCCGCCGAGUUUGCUCAAUUCCGAGUUCGUAUGAGCGAGUUAUGGCCCUUUGAAAGUUGGGCAGUUGACAAGAAAUCCGUCCGGGAAUCAUUAAGGGCAUUUUGGUCUUUUCCCUAGCUAUUUCUUUUGAGGAUGUAUUGUUGUGUUAGGAUGAUGUUUGGAUAAUUUUGAUCCAUUUUAAGAGAGUGGAGGCUAGGGCUUGAGAGUGAAGAAGAGAAGAAGAAGAAGAGAAGAAGAAGAGAAGAAGAAGAGAAGAAGAAGAGAAGAAGAAGAGAAGAAGAAGAGAAGAAGAAGAGAAGAAGAAGAGAAGAAGAAGAGAAGAAGAAGAGAAGAAGAAGAGAAGAAGAAGAGAAGAAGAAGAGAAGAAGAAGAGAAGAAGAAGAGAAGAAGAAGAGAAGAAGAAGAGAAGAAGAAGAGAAGAAGAAGAGAAGAAGAAGAGAAGAAGAAGAGAAGAAGAAGAGAAGAAGAAGAGAAGAAGAAGAGAAGAAGAAGAGAAGAAGAGGAGAAGAAGAAGAGGAAAUCGAGGAGAUCANNNNNNNNNNNNNNNNNNNNNNNNNNNNNNNNNNNNNNNNNNNNNNNNNNNNNNNNNNNNNNNNNNNNNNNNNNNNNNNNNNNNNNNNNNNNNNNNNNNNNNNNNNNNNNNNNNNNNNNNNNNNNNNNNNNNNNNNNNNNNNNNNNNNNNNNNNNNNNNNNNNNNNNNNNNNNNNNNNNNNNNNNNNNNNNNNNNNNNNNNNNNNNNNNNNNNNNNNNNNNNNNNNNNNNNNNNNNNNNNNNNNNNNNNNNNNNNNNNNNNNNNNNNNNNNNNNNNNNNNNNNNNNNNNNNNNNNNNNNNNNNNNNNNNNNNNNNNNNNNNNNNNNNNNNNNNNNNNNNNNNNNNNNNNNNNNNNNNNNNNNNNNNNNNNNNNNNNNNNNNNNNNNNNNNNNNNNNNNNNNNNNNNNNNNNNNNNNNNNNNNNNNNNNNNNNNNNNNNNNNNNNNNNNNNNNNNNNNNNNNNNNNNNNNNNNNNNNNNNNNNNNNNNNNNNNNNNNNNNNNNNNNNNNNNNNNNNNNNNNNNNNNNNNNNNNNNNNNNNNNNNNNNNNNNNNNNNNNNNNNNNNNNNNNNNNNNNNNNNNNNNNNNNNNNNNNNNNNNNNNNNNNNNNNNNNNNNNNNNNNNNNNNNNNNNNNNNNNNNNNNNNNNNNNNNNNNNNNNNNNNNNNNNNNNNNNNNNNNNNNNNNNNNNNNNNNNNNNNNNNNNNNNNNNNNNNNNNNNNNNNNNNNNNNNNNNNNNNNNNNNNNNNNNNNNNNNNNNNNNNNNNNNNNNNNNNNNNNNNNNNNNNNNNNNNNNNNNNNNNNNNNNNNNNNNNNNNNNNNNNNNNNNNNNNNNNNNNNNNNNNNNNNNNNNNNNNNNNNNNNNNNNNNNNNNNNNNNNNNNNNNNNNNNNNNNNNNNNNNNNNNNNNNNNNNNNNNNNNNNNNNNNNNNNNNNNNNNNNNNNNNNNNNNNNNNNNNNNNNNNNNNNNNNNNNNNNNNNNNNNNNNNNNNNNNNNNNNNNNNNNNNNNNNNNNNNNNNNNNNNNNNNNNNNNNNNNNNNNNNNNNNNNNNNNNNNNNNNNNNNNNNNNNNNNNNNNNNNNNNNNNNNNNNNNNNNNNNNNNNNNNNNNNNNNNNNNNNNNNNNNNNNNNNNNNNNNNNNNNNNNNNNNNNNNNNNNNNNNNNNNNNNNNNNNNNNNNNNNNNNNNNNNNNNNNNNNNNNNNNNNNNNNNNNNNNNNNNNNNNNNNNNNNNNNNNNNNNNNNNNNNNNNNNNNNNNNNNNNNNNNNNNNNNNNNNNNNNNNNNNNNNNNNNNNNNNNNNNNNNNNNNNNNNNNNNNNNNNNNNNNNNNNNNNNNNNNNNNNNNNNNNNNNNNNNNNNNNNNNNNNNNNNNNNNNNNNNNNNNNNNNNNNNNNNNNNNNNNNNNNNNNNNNNNNNNNNNNNNNNNNNAGUUUUGAGUCUCUCAUCCAUGUAUAUGUAUGUAUAUGUAAAUAUUCUAUUUUGAGACUCGAGUUGCCCCUUUGGGCCAUAUUUUUAUCAGUUAAGUUGUUUAUGUCUUUGCAUGGCAUUGAGUUAUUCUGUUGAGUCAGGUUUCCGCUGAGUUAAGAAAGCCAGGCCAAGGGUUCGCUUGGGGCCAUCAAUGGUCUCCGAGUGCCGGUCCCGCCCAGGGUGUAGGCUCGGGGCGUGACAGUAUAUGACGAAAAUAUAUGUAUUCGUAAUUGUAUAUACAGUUUUCUCUUGCUUUAUACAAACACAAACGCAUUUUAUACAUUUGUGUUUGUAUAAAAGCAAGAGAAGCGAGGGAGAGACUGGCGAGCGAGAAACCUACGGAGAGAGGCGAAUGACAGUUGUUUACUACGGAUUACAAUUAAAUCAAACUGUGGUUAUAACAUUUAAUUUAAAUUAAUAGUUUGUUAUUUUAUAUACAAUUUUCCCAAAAAAAAUAAAACAAGAGAAUUAAGGAAAAAAAGUGGAAAAAAAAAUCCAAAAAAUACUUACCUAAAAUCCUGACUCCCUCAUGUAACACAAACUCAACACACACGAAAAAAAGGAGAAAGAAGCCAAAAAGGAAGAGAGAGAGAGUGAAAGGGAUGAGAUGCAAAAAUGGAAAGAAGAGAAAAAACGAAAUAAGUAGAUAGAGGAAAAUAGAAGAAAAAAACAACAAAUUAAAGAGAUUUAGAAAACGAGAAAAUAAAAAUAAUUUGGAGUUCUAGAUUUUUGUUCACGUUACGUCUAGAUUCAUGGCUUUUAAAUUAGUGAUUUAUUAAAGUAUUUUUCAUUUCUUUCUUUGAGUUAGAUUUCACAUUAUGAACAAAUGAUAAAAAAUAUAAAUAGUCAUUUAUUCAUUUAUGUGACAUAACUAAAUGUCUAUCAAGAUGAAAUUCAAAUAUCAAAUUUGUUAAAUUUAAUUAAUUAGAUCUGCGUGAGUUUAAGUUUCAAAAAAUUAUACUAUUAUAUAUAAAGGAUUUUUAUUCGUUUAUGUUAUGUCAUUCUUAAUAUAUUGUUUGAUUUAAUUUAUCGAUUAGUAGCAUUUCUAGACUAACGAUUAAUAAUAAUAAUAGCAAAACGGAUUCGGCUCCCUUUCAGUAUUCCAUCUGUCUAGUUCCUCUAGUAUUUUACUACACAUAUCCUUCAAAUUAAUAUUUCCUUUGUUCAAUUUUAUUUGUCACUUAUUCUAAAAUAGAUUUUUAUUUUUUUCUUGUCAGAUAAUUAUUUUUCCAUAUUUUAUCCUUAGCAUUAAAUACUAUAUUUCAAAUCUUAAUAGAGACAAUGUGAUAAAAUAUUUAUAUCAAGUUAAACAGUGACAAGUAAAACUGAACGGAGAGGUAGAUGGUUCAGGUUAUUUGCUAAAACCAACCAUUUAACCAUAGUCAAACAUUAUCUUCCUUCUCUCCACGGACUCCCAACAGGGGCAGAGCUACUUGGUCGUUAGGGACACCCUUUUUUGGAAAAAAAUUAUACAUACAAGUAAAAUGGUACACAAAGUGAUUAAAUAUAUAACAUAUUUUGGACACCCUUGACACAACAUACUGUUGUAGCCCAGUGAUUUCAGACGCUUCAAAUGAGCCAGUAUUUGCAUGUUCGAAUCAGACUAGCAGUUGUACAAUUUCUGGACACCUUUUGUGAAAUUACCGCUCCCAACCAUCUUCAUGAUUGCUCUCAUGAUAGGCUAAUAAUAAGUAUAGAAAAUUGAAAGUUGAUGAUUCUUAAUCACGUCAAUUGCAACCCAGGAGAAUUCUCUAGCCUACUUCAAUUUAGAUUCAUUAAUGGUAAAAAAAAAAAUCAUAACUUUACAUUUCUCUGGCGACCAAAAGGUUCUCUUCUACUUUAAUUUCUUUUAAAGUAAAAAACAUAGAAAAUAAUAUUUGUUUUUCACUUGAUUUUGCAAAAGUGAAAAAUAAGAAUUGGACGGAUGGGCUAUUGGAGGGGAGCCGAAUCCUAGCAGAACAUGGAUCCUUUGAGCAAGAUUCUAAUAAAAAGAAGAAGAGAAUAAUUCGCGAUAAGGUUGAAAAGAUUCAUUUGUGUCAUUAAUAUAGAACUAAAUUUUAUCAUGUGACAUUAUUUAAAUUCUUUAUAUAUAAAUAAAAGCUUGAAACAAGAUGACACAAAUAUCAUUAAAUACAUAAAAUACCUCAAUUUCUAUAUCAAAUAUCAUUCACGAGAAGGAUAAUAAGGAGUGGCAAUCAAGUAAAGCUCACUCUUUCUUGCUGCAGUUAUUCCAAAAAACUCAGUCAUGUCAACAUCUUCAAGCUUCACACCAUCAGGUAAUUUCCAAUCAAAAUGAUACAACAAAUUAGCCAGUGGAAGAUAAACAUUGAUCAAACCAAAUAAAAUCCCAGGACACAUUCUCCUUCCGGCACCAAAAGGAAGAUACUUAAAGUUAUUCCCCAUAAAAUCCACAGAAAUCUGCUCGAAUCUCUCAGGGAUAAAGCUUUCCGCAUCUUCCCAAUACUUUGGGUCCCUCCCCAUCGCAUAAACGUUAACAAUGACUCUUGUUUUUAAAGGGAUAGUGUAACCAUUGAUGCUUGUUUCUUCUCUACAUUCUCUGGGGAUUAAGAGAGGGGCUGGGGGAUGAAGUCUGAAGGUUUCUUUAACAACUUGUUUUAAGUAUUUCAAUUCUUCAAUAACAUCUUCAUUGAAAGUUUCUUUUCCUUUGAAUGCUUCUCUUACCUCAGCUUGUGCCUUUGCUAAUACACUUGGAUUUCUCAUCAUUUCUGACAUAGCCCAUAUUAUUGUUGUUCCUGAAGUUUCUGUUCCCGCACCGAACAAGUCCUAUAUUCAUUAUAAUUAAUCAGAGAAGGUUAUAACACAAAUAUCCAUAUAUAAUAUGUUGUAACAUGAACUAGCUUGUAAUUUCAUAGUAUAUAUUGAACUUAAUUAAUGUGUAUUUAUAUUUUUGUCCACAAAUAUUAUUACUUUAUAAGGACAUUUUUGUAAUCCAACUUUUAAUUUGGGUGCUUUCCACUUUUAAUAAUAUAUGAUAUGAUAUGAUAUGAUAUGAUAUGAUGAUAUGAUGAUAUAAUGUUCAUGCAUAUAUCAAGGGUAAUAUAUUUCCUUGAAUAUGCAUCUCAAAAUUUUCACAAAUUCAUAAAAUAUUCGCAAAGACAUGAUCAGGAAGUGGUUGAACUCUUUUUGAUAACUAUUAAAUACUUCAAGAAGAUCUACAAAAUUCUUUCAUGGAGAUUAAACAAAUCUCAAGCAGGCCAACAUCAUCCUAAUUUGAGAAAUACAUCAUUAACAGCCCACAAAUAAUGGAGAGAAGAAUCAAGGGAUAAACAGACUUAUACCCACAUUAAUUUAUCAAUAAAAUUAUGUUUUUUCAUAUUUUAUUUGUGAUUAUAAUUUAUUUUCUGUCACUUUAAAUUUGUCACAAAUAUAGUUAAUCGAAAUUUUUGAAAAAUACCUUUUUUAGGAAAACAAGUACCACAAGUGGUAUUCCAUAUUAUUAUUCAUGUCCUUCCAAUUCACAUCUUCACCUCCUAUCCUAUAGCCUCCAUCCCAGACCCCUACCUCCACCUCCCUCCUUCUCUCCCAUAGUAUUUUUCUAUAAAUAAAUGUUUUAAGAAUAAUAGUGAACACAUGAAAAUAAGAAAUUCACUUAUUUUUCAAAAAAACAUUUUUCAUGAAAAAUAUUCUUCCGUACAAUACAAACCCUUAGAGAUUUUUUAAAAUUAUAAGUACAUAUAAUACUUACAAUCAUAAUUGCUUUGAUGUUGUCAUUGGUGAUUGGGAUUUUAAGUUCCCUACUCUCCUUUAAUCUUAGUAGUACAUCAACUAAAUCUUCACCUCCAAAUGCACCAUUUCCCUUUUUACCACUUGCAAUAUUCUUCUUGUGCUCAUUGAUAACAUCCUCAACAAUAGCAUCAACAUUUUUGUGAACUUUCAAGAUUCUACUCCUCACUCCACUUAGUACAUGAAGGAUCUUGAUUGAAGGAAAAAAAUCAGCCACACUAAAUCCACUAGCCAAUUCCACCAAUUCCUUCACUAAUCCAAUGAAUUUCUCUUGAUCUUUCAACAAUUUUCCAAAUGCUGCUCUGCUUGUAUUUGAGCUCUCGUACCAUGAAAUCUGUUCCGUAACGUUUAUCGGCUCGCCACGUGUUGAUGAUCGGAUGAAUUGCACGAGGCUUGAAGCCUCGUCUCGCCUAAUGGAACUAAAAGACCGUACAUUCUUGGCAGUGAAAAGUUCCAAGACACAUAUUUUGCGCAUCUGUCUCCAAUAUUCUCCGUAAGAACUAAACGCGAUGUCCGUGCUCUUGUAAAAUAUUAUGUCGAGGGAUACUAAUUUAGGCCUCGAUGCAAAAGCAAGGUCAUGAGUUUUCAUUACCUCUCGCGCCAUGUCCAGAGAAGAUACUACGACCAUAGAAGUUUCGCCUAGUUGAAGGUGCAUGAAAGGUCCAUAUUUUUUGCCCAAGUUUGUGAGUGCAUGAUGAGGAAGUCCACCUUCUAAUGCCAAGUGAUGAAGACUUCCUAAGAAAGGCAA
rnacentral:lncRNA from 1 species